GAACAAGAGUGUUACGUUCCCUUCCACAAACAAUUUCCCUUAUAUAUAACUAAAGCAAUUCUAGACUCAACUUCGACCAGUUUGGCUUAGUAAUCCUACAGUCAGUCAGGCUCUGAUACCAAAGCUGUCGGGACCCCGAUCCUAAGCCAUAGGAAUCCAGCCUGUAACACAUCGCAUCCCUUUGUGGCCUCACGCACGGUUAACUCCACGGCUGCAGCCUUACCUUAGCCGGGACCGUUUGCGGCUUUUGACUCACGUAUGCGAUAGUGUCGCUAGCAUUCCAAUGUCAAAGAACCCGGAUCGACAUGUCUAGUCAUAAACCAAAGUGGCAGUUCCGCACAAGGACAGGCAUACAUGACCCAACAAAGCAGGUGUCGGUCAUCAACGAACGUAGACGAGUCGUAGCAAGCUACAAGGACUCCGUUACGUCACGUGACAUUUCCCCAAAGGGGACAGACACAGCAGCUAAGAAGGACACAUGCCGGUCAACCAAUGUGUCCGGAGCAGUAGCGAACUACCAAGGCCCGUUGGAUCACAAAGGGGCAUUUCCUUGUAAGGAGUGCUACUAAAGUUCACGACUAGGUAUUCGAACCCCAUACAUAUCAAGUACGACACACGUACGCAUGGCAUACCGAUAUGUAUAGAUAUAUCGAUGGCAUCACAACAUAACCAUAAACAUACAAGCUUUAUUUAAGAGGCUCGGAAGAGCCACACACAUAUUAUUACACAUUAAGGGUCUCACGACCCAUAAUAGCAGUCAUACAAUACAAGCCAGCGGAAGAGUUAUAAACUGUCUGGGUACAGACAGAGCAACUAGAAGGCACAUGGCCUGACUAUACUACAGAGCCGACGUAGGGCCAGAUCGUAGCUGGGACACCAGCUACUCAUCGUCGUCGAUGUCUACGAAGAACCCUCCAUUAGGGUCAUUAGCAACCCCUGCAAUAUUUAUUAAGCAAACAUGAGUAUGAAGGUACUCAGCAAGACUUUAGGAUGACUAACUACUCAUGCAAGGUAUCAAGAAGGUAUUGUGGGGUUUCNUCUACGAAGAACCCUCCAUUAGGGUCAUUAGCAACCCCUGCAACAUUUAUUAAGCAAACAUGAGUACGAAGGUACUCAGCAAGACUUUAGGAUGACUAACUACUCAUGCAAGGUAUCAAGAAGGUAUUGUGGGGUUUCAUGCGGGAAGCCAGCAUUUGACUCGUGGCUAGACAACUUGCUUUUGAAAUUAGUUUUGACAACUUGUUUNAUGCGGGAAGCCAGCAUUUGACUCGUGGCUAGACAACUUGCUUUUGAAAUUAGUUUUGACAACUUGUUUUCUCGCACACGAGUCCACUAACACCACAACAAUACACUAUCGUGGAAUCAUUCCGUCUCCAUACGGAAAUGCCGUCCACGACANNNNNNNNNNNNNNNNNNNNNNNNNNNNNNNNNNNNNNNNNNNNNNNNNNNNNNNNNNNNNNNNNNNNNNNNNNNNNNNNNNNNNNNNNNNNNNNNNNNNCCGGCCACACCCACCCAAACCCUAGCCCACGUCGCCAGGAACCGCGAGGGGUUCCUCACCCUCGCCACCUAUCACCCCGCCGCCAGGAAGCCCCUCGUCCCCACCUACCGCGUUCCUCCCCAUCGAGCCCCACCCCCUCGAGAGCUCCCCCACCCCCAGAUCGCCACCAACCCACCGACACACCCGGCCCCCCACCUACCACGCAACCGAAGGCCCCCUCCUCUCGGUCCUCUCCCCCCACGACACCCAUGAGAGGACCCCCCCCUCAUCCUACUCUCUCCCAACCGGCUGCCCCAGCCCGAUCCCCCAUCCCCCGAUCCGCCCCUUCCCCACGAGAGCUGAGAGAGAGAGAGCCCACGGCCUCCCGGAUCUCCCCCCAGUGACCGGCCUCCCCUGCACCCGUCGGCCCCCCAUCCUCCCGCCGGCGGCUGCCUGCCGCCUCCCUCCCUGCUAACCCGAGCCUCCUAGGGACGGAGCCCCUUCCUCGCCGGCCGAACCGCCCCAAGCCCCAUCGGGAGUCCCGCAGAUCGGCCUCCCUCCCCUGCACCGCCCCACCGCGGCCCCGGGAGCCCCUCCGGCGGCGCUCACAUCUCCAUGGGCCCCUCCUCACCGGGGCCCCUCUCGGCGACCCUCCGUCCGGCUCCCCUCGCCGGCCCCGACCUCCGGGAGGCUUUCUCCGGCGACCCAGCUCGUCGGAUCCGUCAUCACCACCUCCGGGAACGCCUCCACGCCAUCUCCUCCGCCCCUUCCCGCGAACUCCGGCUUCACCGGGCCGUCUCGUCAACGUCGGUGAGCCCCUCCUCGGGCUCCUCCCACCAUCUCGUUCCCCUCACCGUCCCGGUUCCGUUCCGACGAACAGCGCUCCGUUCCGACGACGUGAUGUUCGCGUAGGAGAGAAUGAAGUUAGUGUUUCUUCUCUGUUGUGAAGAGAAGAAGCAGAGAAGAAGAUUGUGUGUUAACAGACACACGGAGAUGAGAGUUUUUGAAAGAAAUAAAAUAAACGUUGUAUUUGCAUAUGUAUUUUUGUAUGUAUGAGAUGCACGUAUGUAUGUAUGUAUUUCGGUAUAUGGCGGUAUACGUUAUUUGUUUGUAUAUGUAUCUGUGAGUAAAAAGGUGUAUUUGGCCUAAAGCCACUUACCGGUGGGGCCAACGCACCCCGCUGUCUAUGACAGGGAGGCCCCACACCCUCUCUUUAAGNNNNNNNNNNNNNNNNNNNNNNNNNNNNNNNNNNNNNNNNNNNNNNNNNNNNNNNNNNNNNNNNNNNNNNNNNNNNNNNNNNNNNNNNNNNNNNNNNNNNAUCUACGUACCCUUGUAGAUCGCACAACAGGAAGCGUUAAGAAACGCGGUUGAUGUAGUGGAACGUCCUCACGUCCCUCGAUCCGCCCUGCGAACCAUCCCACGAACCGUCCCGCGAUCCAUCCCACGAUCCGUCCCGCAAUCCGUCCCACGAGCCGUCUCACGAUCCGUUGCAUGAACCAUUUUGCGAUCCAUCUCACGAUCCGUUCCGAUCUAGUGCCGAACGGACGGCACCUCCGCGUUCAACACACGUACAGCUCGACGAUGAUCUCGGCCUUCUUGAUCCAGCAAGAGUGAUAGAGAGGUAGAUGAGUUCCCCGGCAUCGUGACGGCGCUCCGGAGGUUGGUGGAGAUCUAUCUCAGCAGGGCUCCGGCCGAACUCCGUAGAAAUACGAUCUAGAGGAAAAACCAUGGAGGUAUGUGGUCGGGCUGCCGUGGCAAAGUUGUGUCUCAAAAACCCCCAAUACCUCUAGUAUAUAUAGGAGGGAGGGAGGGGNNNNNNNNNNCCCGACAGCAUGACGGUGCUCUGAAGGUUGGUGGUGAUCUAUAUCAGUAGGGCCCCGCCCGAGCUCCGCAGAAAUACGAUCUAGAGGAAAAAACCGUGGAGGUAUGUGGUCGGGCUGCCGUGGCAAAGUUGUAUCUCAAAAACCCCCAAUACCUCUAGUAUAUAUAGGAGGGAGGGAGGGGAGGAGGCAGCCUCAAACCCUCAAGGUUUGGCCGAAAUUGGAGGUGGAGGAGUCUUACUCCAAUCCUACUUGGAGUAGGAUUCCACCUUCCCACUUGGAAACUCUUUCCACCUUGUGUUUUUCCUUCUCAAACCUUAUGGGCCUUAGUGGGAACUUAUUACAGCCCACUAGGGGCUGGUUUAUAUCUUCCCAUAGCCCAUGAGACCCCNNNNNNNNNNNNNNNNNNNNNNNNNNNNNNNNNNNNNNNNNNNNNNNUCGGCACUCCCGAUACAUUACCGAUAAGCCCGAACCUUUUCCGGUGACCAAAACAGGACUUCCUAUAUAUCAAUCUUUACCUUCGGACCAUUCCGGAGCUCCUCAUGACGUCCUGGAUCUCAUCCGAGACUCCGAACAACUUUCGGUUACCAACACCUAUAACUCAACUAUACCGAAAACAUCGUCGAACCUUAAGUGUGCAGACCCUGCGGGUUCGAGAACUAUGUAGACAUGACCUGAGAGACUCCUCGGUCAAUAUCCAAUAGCUGGACCCGGACGCCCAUAUUGGAUCCUACAUAUUCUCCGAAUAACUUAUCGGUUGAACCUCAGUGUCAAGGAUUCAUAUAAUCCCGUAUGUCAUUCCCUNNNNNNNNNNNNNNNNNNNNNNNNNNNNNNNNNNNNNNNNNNNNNNNNNNNNNNNNNNNNNNNNNNNNNNNNNNNNNNNNNUGGUAUGUUACUUGCAAGAGAUUCGAUCGUUAGUAUCCGCAUACCUAUUUCAAUNNNNNNNNNNNNNNNNNNNNNNNNNNNNNNNNNNNNNNNNNNNNNNNNNNNNNNNNNNNNNNNNNNNNNNNNNNNNNNNNNNNNNNNNNNNNNNNNNNNNAAUUUCCGGACCAUUCCGGAAACCCUCGUGACGUCCGUGAUAUCAUCCGGGACUCCGAACAACAUUCGGUAACCAACCAUAUAACUCAAAUACGCAUAAAACAACGUCGAACCUUAAGUGUGCAGACCCUGCGGGUUCGAGAACUAUGUAGACAUGACCCGAGUGACUCCUAGGUCAAUAUCCAAUAGCGGGACCUGGAUGCCCAUAUUGGAUCCCACAUAUUCUACGAAGAUCUUAUCGUUUGAACCUCAGUGCCAAGGAUUCNNNNNNNNNNCAUUCUUGGUAACUCCGAAAACCUUCCCGUAAUAAAAUAAGGUCAUCCUAUAUAUCAAUCUUCGUUUCCGGACCAUUCCAGAAACCCUCGUGACGUCCGUGAUCUCAUCCGGGACUCCGAACAACAUUCGGUAACCAACCAUAUAACUCAAANNNNNNNNNNCGUUUCCAGACCAUUUCGGAAACCCUCGUGGCAUCCGUGAUCUCAUCUGAGACUCCGAACAACAUUCGGUAACCAACCAUAUAACUCAAAUACGCAUAAAACAACGUCGAACCUUAAGUGUGCAGACCCUGCGGGUUCGAGAACUAUGUAGACAUGACCCGAGAGACUCCUCGGUCAAUAUCCAAUAGCGGGACCUGGAUGCCCAUAUUGGAUCCUACAUAUUCUACGAAGAUCUUAUCGUUUGAACCUCAGUGCCAAGGAUUCAUUAAUCUCGUAUGUCAUUCCCUUUGUCCUUCGGUAUGUUACUUGCCCGAGAUUCGAUCGUCAGUAUCCGCAUACCUAUUUCAAUCUCGUUUACCGGCAAGUCUCUUGACUCGUUCCGUAAUACAAGAUCCCGCAACUUACACUAAGUCAAAUUGCUUGCAAGGCUUGUGUGUGAUGUUGUAUUACCGAUUGGGCCCCGAGAUACCUCUCCGUCACACGGAGUGACAAAACCCAGUCUCGAUCCAUACUAACUCAAUGAACACCUUCGGAGAUACCUAUAGAGCAUCUUUAUAGUCACCCAGUUACGUUGCGACGUUUGAUACACANNNNNNNNNNCUCAACUAACACCUUCGGAGAUACCUGUAGAGCAUCUUUAUAGUCACCCAGUUACNNNNNNNNNNNNNNNNNNNNNNNNNNNNNNNNNNNNNNNNNNNNNNNNNNNNNNNNNNNNNNNNNNNNNNNNNNNNNNNNNNNNNNNNNNNNNNNNNNNNAUGUGAUGUUAAUCCUUUUAUGCACCUUAUUUUGCUUAGAACGACGGUAGCAUUACAAGGUGAUCCAUCACUAAAAUUCUCAAGAUAAAAUUGUGUUCUCCCCGAUUGUGCAUCGUUGUGACAGUUCGUAGUUUCGAGACACCACGUGAUGAUCGGGUGUGAUAGACUCAACGUUCACAUACAAUGGGUGCAAUACAGUUGCACACGCGCAACACUCGUGUUAAACUUGACGAGCCAAGCAUGUACAGACAUGGCCUCAGAACACAAGAGACCGAAAGGUCGAGCAUGAAUCAUAUAGUAGAUAUGAUCAACAUAGAGAUGUUCACCACUGAAACUAUAGUCAACUCACGUAAUGAUCGGACUUGAGUUAGUGAAUUUGGAUCAUGCGNNNNNNNNNNUACAGUUCAUCGUUUUGAGACACCACGUGAUGAUCGGGUGUGAUAGACUCAACGUUCAAGUGUAAGUGGGUCAUGAACCACUCAAAUGACUAGAGAGAUGUACUUUUUGAGUGGGAGUUUAGCAAGUAAUGUGAUUAAGUUAAACUCUAAUUAUCUUGAACAUAGUCUAAGUCCACUUUGAAUAUAUUUGUGUUGUAGAACAUGGCUCACGCGACAGUCACCCUGAAUUUUAAUACGUUCCUAGAGAAAGCUAAGUUGAAAGAUGAUGGAAGCAACUUUGUAGACUGGGCUCGUAAUCUUAAGUUGAUCCUACAAGCUGGGAAGAAGGAUUAUGUCCUUAAUGCUGCGCUAGGAGAUGAACCACCCGCUACGGCUGACCAGGAUGCUAAGAACGCUUGGUUAACACGUAAGGAGGACUACUCAAUAGUUCAAUGUGGACUUAGNNNNNNNNNNCACUGGGCUCGUAAUCUUAAGCUAAUCUUACAAGCUGGGAAGAAGGAUUAUGUCCUUAAUGCUGCGUUAGGAGAUGAACCACCCGCUACGGCUGAUCAGGAUGUUAAGAACGCUUGGUUAGCACGUAAGGAGGACUACUCAAUAGUUCAAUGUGCAGUCUUGUAUGGCUUAGAACCGGGACUUCAACGUCGCUUUGAGCGUCAUGGAGCAUUUCAGAUGUUGCAGGAGUUGGAGUUUAUCUUUCAGAAGAACGCCCGGAUCGAGAGGUAUGAGACCUCCGAUAANNNNNNNNNNGCUUUGAGCGUCAUGGAGCAUAUGAGAUGUUCCACGAGUUGAAGUUUAUCUUUUAGAAGAACGCCCGGAUCGAGAGGUAUGAGACCUCCGAUAAAUUCUCUGCUUGCAAGAUGGAGGAGAAUUCGUCUGUCAGUGAACAUGUGCUCAAAAUGUCUGGGUACUCAAACCGUCUAGCUGAGCUGGGGAUUGAACUCCAGCAAGAGGCUAUCACUAACAGAAUUCUUCAAUCACUGCCGCCAAGCUAUAAGGGCUUUGUGUUGAACUACAACAUGCAAGGGAUGAACAAGUCACCCGGCGAGUUGUUUGCGAUGCUGAAAGUCGCAGAGUCUGAACUCCGUAAAGAGCAUCAAGUGUUGAUGGUGAAUUAGACCACUAGUUUCAAGAGAAAUGGCAAAGGCAAGAAGGGCAAUUCAAAGAAGAGCGGCAAGCCUGUUGCCAAUCCAACGAAGAAACCCAAAGCUGGACCUAAGCCUGAAACAGAGUGCUACUAUUGCAAGGGUAUGGGUCACUGGAAGCGCAACUGCCCCAAGUAUCUCGCUGAUAAGAAGGCAACCAAAGAAAAAUCAGGUAUAUUUGAUAUACAUGUUAUUGAUGUGUACUUAGCCGUCUCUCGUAGUAGUGCGUGGGUAUUCGAUACCGGUUCUGUUGCUCAUAUUUGCAACUCGAAACAGGAACUGCGGAAUAGGCGAAGGCUUGCGAAAGAUGAAGUGACGAUGCGCGUAGGAAAUGGUUCCAAGGUUGAUGCAAUCGUCGUCGGCACAGUUUCACUUCAGUUACCAUCGGGAUUAGUUAUGAACUUGAAUAAUUGUUAUUUAGUGCCUGCGUUGGGCAUGAACAUUAUAUCUGGAUCUUGUUUAUUGCGAGACGGUUACUCUUUUAAAGUCAGAGAAUAAUGGUUGUUCUAUUUCUAUGAGUAACAUCUUUUAUGGUCAUGCACCCAAUGUAGGAGGAUUGUUCAUAUUGAAUCUUGAUAGUGAUACACAUAUACAUAACAUUGAGACCAAAAGAGUUAGAGUUAACAAUGAUAGCGCCAUGUUUUUGUGGCACUGCCGCUUAGGUCAUAUUGGUGUAAAGCGCAUGAAGAAACUCCAUACCGAUGGACUUUUGGAAUCACUUGACUUUCAUUCACUUGACACGUGCGAACCAUGCCUCAUGGGCAAGAUGACUAAAACUCCAUUCUCCGGAACAAUGGAGCGUGCCAGUGACUUAUUGGAAAUCAUACAUACCGAUGUGUGUGGUCCGAUGAGCGUGGAGGCACGCGGAGGAUAUCGUUAUUUUCUCACCUUCACUGACGAUUUGAGUAGAUAUGGUUAUGUCUACUUAAUGAAGCACAAGUGUGAAACAUUUGAAAAGUUCAAGCAAUUUCAGAGUGAAGUUGAAAAUCAUCGUAACAAGAAUAUCAAGUUCCUACGGUCUGAUCGUGGGGGUGAAUAUCUGAGUUUCGAGUUUGGUGCUCACUUAAGACAAUGUGGAAUUGUUUCACAAUUGACACCGCCUCGAACACCACAGCGUAAUGGUGUGUCCGAACGUCGUAAUCGUACUUUAUUAGAGAUGGUGCGAUCUAUGAUGUCUCUUACCGAUUUGCCGUUUUUUCUUUGGGGUUAUGCAUUAGACACAGUUGCAUUCACUUUAAAUAGGGCACCAUCAAAAUACAUUGAGACGACACCAUACGAACUGUGGUAUGGCAAAAUGCCAAGGUUGUAGUUUCUUAAAGUUUGGGGAUGUGAUGCUUAUGUCAAAAAGCUUCAUCCUGAAAAGCUUGAACCCAAAGCGGAAAAGUGCAUCUUCAUAGGUUACCCAAAAGAAACAGUUGGGUACACCUUCUAUCUCAAAUCCGAGGGCAAAGUGUUUGUUGCUAAAAACGGAGCUUUUCUCGAGAAGGAGUUUCUCUNNNNNNNNNNCUGGGAGGAAUAGAGAACUUGAUGAGGUUGUUGAACCUCUCAUCCCUCUGGAUGGUGGCGCAGGGCAAGGGGAAACCCCUGUCGUUGCGACGCCGGUUGAGGAGGAAGUUAAUGAUGAUGAUCAUGAAACUCCGGUUCAAGUUCCUAUCGAACCACGCAGGUCGACGAGACCACGUGCUGCUCCAGAGUGCUACGGUAAUCCCGUUUCGUCAAUCAUGUUGUUAGACAACAAUGAACCUGCAAAUUAUGAAGAAGCAAUGGUGGGCCCAGAGUCCAACAAAUGGCUGGAGGCCAUGAAGUCCGAGAUAGGAUCCAUGUAUGAAAACAAAGUGUGUACUUUGGAAGUACUACCUGAGGGCCGCAAGGCUAUUCAGAACAAAUGGAUCUUUAAGAAGAAGACGGACGCUGACGGCAAUGUGACCGUUUAUAAAGCUCGACUUGUGGCAAAAGGUUUUCCACAAGUUCAAGGAGUUGACUACAAUGAGACAUUCUCACCCGUAGCGAUGCUUAAGUCCGUCAGAAUCAUGUUAGCAAUAGCUGCAUUUUUCGAUUAUGAAAUCUGGCAGAUGGAUGUCGAAAUGGCGUUCCUUAACGGUUUCCUUAAGGAAGAGUUGUAUAUGAUGCAACCCGAAGGUUUUGUCGAUCCUAAGAAUUCGAACAAGGUGUGCAAGCUCCAGCGAUCCAUUUAUGGACUGGUGCAAGCAUCUCGGAGUUGGAACAAACGCUUUGAUGAGGUGAUCAAAGCAUUUGGGUUUAUACAAGUGGUUGGAGAAUCUUGUAUUUACAAGAAAGUGAGUGGGAGCUCUGUGGCAUUUCUAAUAUUAUAUGUGGAUGACAUAUUGCUGAUUGGAAACAACGUAGAGUUUUUAGAGAGCAUAAAGGUUUACUUGAAUAAAAGUUUCUCUAUGAAGGACCUAGGAGAAGCUGCUUACAUUCUAGGCAUUAAGAUCUAUAGGGAUAGAUCAAAACGCCUGAUAGGACUUUCACAAAGCACAUACCUUGAUAAAGUUUUGAAGAGGUUCAAAAUGGAACAGUCCAAGAAAGGGUUCUUGCCAGUUCUGCAAGGUACGAGAUUGAGUAAGACUCAGUGCCCAGCAACUGAUGAAGAUAGAGAGCAUAUGCGCUCCGUCCCCUANNNNNNNNNNNNNNNNNNNNNNNNNNNNNNNNNNNNNNNNNNNNNNNNNNNNNNNNNNNNNNNNNNNNNNNNNNNNNNNNNNNNNNNNNNNNNNNNNNNNUCAGCAAGCGAAGAUGCAAGCACAUUGAAGGCACAUGGCACACAAGCGAACAGAAAGCAAGCGAGAGAAAGGGCGAACGAAAAAGGCAAAUUGGUGAAGUGGGGGAGAGGAAAACGAGAGGCAACUAGCAAACAAAGUAAAUGCAAGAGAUGAGUUUGAGACACCUACUUGGAUGAGUUCUUGACUUGAUCUUCCUCCCCGGCAACGGCGCCAGAAAUCUUUCUGCUACGGUAACAAAAAUCCUACCUUGGCGUUAGGAAUUCUUCUUGCUACUUCUGUGGUUUGCGUCGGUUUUUCCCUUGAAGAGGAAAGGGUGAUGCAGCACAGCAGCAGUAAGUAUUUCCCUCUGUUUGAGAACCAUGGUAUCGAUCCAAAAGGAGGUUCUCGUCAAGUCCAGAGUACCUGCGCAAACACAAACAAGCUUGCAACCAACGCUUCAAAGGGGUUGUCAAUCCCUUCAAGAUUGUUUGCAAAGUGAGAUCUGAAGGCGGAAAGUGCAUAGAAGUAAAAAGUGUAAGGCUGAAAAUAUGGUGUGGAGUAGACCCGGGGGCCAUAGUGUUCACUAGAGGCUUCUCUCAAAAUAGCAAAUAUCACGGUGGGUGAACAAAUUACUAUCGAGCAAUUGAUAGAACCGCGCAAAGUCAUGACGAUAUCUAAGGCAAUGAUCAUACAUAUAGGCAUCACGUCCGACACAAGUAGACCGAUACUUUGUGCAUCUACUGCUAUUACUCCACACAUCGACCGCUAUCCAGCAUGCAUCUAGUGUAUUGAGUUCAUGACGAACAGAGUAACGCCUUAAGCAAGAUGACAUGAUGUAGAGGGAUAAUCUCAAACCAAUGAUGAAAACCCCAUCUUUUUACCCUUGAUGGCAACAACACGAUGUGUAUCUCGCUACCCCUUCUCUCACUUGGUGAGGCCACCGCACGGUAUGAACCCAAAACCAAGCACUUCUCCCAUUGCCAGAAUCAUAGAUCUAGUUGGCCAGACAAAACCCACAACUCGAAGGGGAUUACAAGGAUAUGAAAUCAUGCAUAAGAGAGAUCAGAUGAAACUCAAAUAAGAUUCAUAGAUAAUCAGAUCAUAAAUCCACAAUUCAUCGGAUCUCAACAAACACACCCCAAAAGAAGAUUACAUCGGAUAGAUCUCCAUGAAGAUCAUGGAGAACUUUGUAUUGAAGAUCCAAGAGAGAGAAGAAGCCAUCUAGUUACUAGCUAUGGACCCAUAGGUCUAUGGUGAACUACUCACGCAUCAUCGGAGAGGUCAUGGUGUUGAUGAAGAAGCCCUCCGUUUCCGAAUCCCCCCUCCGGCAGAGCACCAGAACGUGCCCCAGAUGGGAUCUUGCGGACACAAAAGUUUGCGGCGGCGGAAAAGUACUUUUGAUGAUCUCCUGAUUUUUUUGGGAUUUUUAGGGAAUAUAUAGGUGCAACCCCUAGGGCAGACGGUGCCCAUGGUGCCCACAAGCCUAUGGUCCGCGGCCUCCCCCCUGGCCGCGGGGUGGGGGCUUNNNNNNNNNNNNNNNNNNNNNNNNNNNNNNNNNNNNNNNNNNNNNNNNNNNNNNNNNNNNNNNNNNNNNNNNNNNNNNNNNNNNNNNNNNNNNNNNNNNNUGCUAAUGCUUUGUUCCGGUUCUCUAUUAAAAGGAGACCUUAAUAUCCCUUAGUUUCCAUUAGGACCCCGCUACCACGGGAGGGAUGGACAAUAGAUGUCAUGCAAGUUCUUUUCCAUAAGCACGUAUGACUAAAUACGGAAUACAUGCCUACAUUACAUUGACGAACUGGAGCUAGUUAAAUAUCACCCCAUGUUAUAACUGUUACAUGAUGAAUGUCAUGCGACAUAAUUAUCCAUCACCGAUCCAAUGCCUACGAGCUUUUCCUACUGGUCCUUGCUAAGUUACUUUACCGAUGCUGCUGUCACUCCUGCUACUGUUACCGCUGCUACCAUUGCUAUCACACUACUCUGCUACUGAAACUUUGCUGCAGAUACUAAGUCUUUCACGUGUGGUUGUAUUGACAACUCAACUGCUAAUACUCGAGAAUAUUCUUUGGCUUCCCCUUGUGUCGAAUCAACAAAUUUGGGUUGAAUACUCUACCCUCGAAAACUAUUGCGAUCCCCUAUACUUGUGGGUUAUUAAUCCACAUACCCCAAGGUGAUAAUAAUUGGGAUUCUUUCCGAUGAUUGUCGUAAUUUGAGGAGUUCAUCUAUUCACCAUGUGUUAAUUCUUUGUUCCGGUUCUAUAUUAAAAGGGGGCCUUAAUAUCUCUUAGUUUCGUUAUGGACCCUACUACCACGGGAGGGUAGGACAAAAGAUGCCAUGCAAGUUCUUAUCACAAACACAUAUGACUAUAUAAGGAAUAGAUGCCUACACUAUAUUGAUGAAUUGGAGCUAGUUGUGUGUCGCCCUAGUGUGUAAAUGUGUAAUUGUUACAUGAUUGAUGUCAUCUAAGUCAUUAUCCAUCACCGAUCCAUGUGCCUACACUUUUAAUAUACUGGUUCUUGCUAAGUUACUGUCACUACUGUUGUUCUACCUUGGUACUAAAACUUUUGCUAUAGAGAGAUAUCGUGAGUGUGGUUGAAUUGACAACUCAACUGCUAAGACCAAUAAAUAUUCUUUGGCUCCCCUUGUGUCGAAUCNNNNNNNNNNAAGCUAUAAUUCAGUAUACCAAAUUCGUUAGAUCUGCAUAACUAUAUCUAAAAUUAUAGCAUACAUCGCACCUUCAUAAUUGUGCUUAGAUGGAGCAUAUAUAUCAUGUAACAUGGACUAUACCUAGAAAGAUCACAAUCGAUUGAUCUUGGUAAAUAUAGCUAGCUAAAUCACAACUGAUAGAUCAUCAUAGUUGUAGUUAGAUAGAUCACAUAUGAAAAAAAAUUCAAAUGCACAUGUUAAUUAUUAGUUGAACUAGGAGCGACUAGUAUAUGCCAUGCAUGAUUUAGACAUAUUUUGGCUUCCCUCAAACAAAUGAUAGUCCAAUAUUGUCAACAAUACAUAAUCGGAACCCUAAUAUUUGUAUUUGUAAUUGUAAGUAUUUAUGAUUGGAACUAUUAGCAACCAUCCACAAACACUAACAAAAUCUUUAAGGUAAAAACAACCAUCACAUUAAGAUAUAUUGCCCCCCUUCAUCUCAUAUGCAUUAAUUUCCAUGGUGUAGUGAGGUAUUCACUCACUCUAUUCAUCGUAUGCAUAGUAGCAUCAACAUAAUACUAACCGUAAGGUGUGAUCCACACGCGCAUGAUAACCAACAAGUGUAGGGGAUCGCGAUUGUAUUCACGGGUAGUAUUUCACCCUAAUUUAUUAAUUCGACACAACGGGAGGCAAAGAAUAUUUAUUGGCCGUAACACUUGAGUUGACAAUUCAGUCGCACUUGGCAUAUUCUUUUGCAGCAAAUAUUUAGUAGCACAACAAGUGAUAGUUGUAACACUAACAUCGAUAGCAGCAAUUUUAGUAACAAUACUAAUAGUAUCAAUUCAGUAGCGGGUGUGACAGUAGUAGCAACAGUAGUAACUUAGAAAUAUUCAAUAUAUGUAACGCGUAGGCACAAGGAACAGCAGAGAAUAAUGAUUUAGAUGACAUUGAUCCUAUAAUAGUUACACACUAGGGUGACACAGAACUAGCUCCAAUUCAUCAAUAUAGUGUAGGCAUGUAUUCCGUAUAUAGUCAUACGUGCUUGCAAUAAGAACUUGCAUGACAUAUUUUGUCCUACCCUCCCGUGGCAGCGGGGUCCUAUUGGAAACUAAAGGAUAUUAAGGCCUUCUUUUAAUAGAAAUUGAGAACAAAGCAUCAACACAUAGUAAAUACAUAAAAUCCUCAAACUAUGGCAAUCACCGGAAAGAAUCCCAAUUAUUGUCACCUUGGGGUAUGCGGAUCAAGACACGUAAUACGUAACUAUAACUUGCAAGGUAGGAUCCAAAUCGCUCUUAUACUCAUGAAAACAUAAUAGAAUCAGAUCUGAAAUCAUGGCACUCGGGCCCUAGUGACAAGCAUUAAGAAUAGCAAAGUCAUAGUAACAUCAAUCUCAGAACAUAGUGGAUACUAGGGAUCAAGCCCUAUCAAACUUAACUCUAUUACAUGAUCAAUCUCAUCCAAUUCCAUCGCUGUCCAGCAAGCCUACGAAGUAAUUAACCACUCCCGGUGGUGAGCAUCAUGGUGGUGUUGAGGGAGAAGGGUUGGUCAUGACGACGGCGACUAAUCCCCCUCUCCGGAGCUUCAAACAGACUCCAGACCAGCCCUUCGGAGGAAGAAGAGGAGGUGGCGGCGGCUUUGUAUCGUAGAACGCGAUGAAAGCUUCUCUCCUAUUUUUGUCUUGGUGAUUAUGAAUUUAUAGGACUCGAUAGGGUCGGAGGAGCCUCGAGGGCCCCACAAGCUAUCAGGUCGCACCCUGGGGGGCUGAUGGCUUGUGCCCCGAGGCAAUUCCCCUCUCGCACGUCUUCACUUCACAAAUCCAAAACAAUCACAAAAAGUUUCGUCUGAUUCUAAGAACUUUGCUUCUGCACAAAAAUAACACCAAGGUAGUUCUGCUGAAAACAACGUUAGUCCGGGUUAGUUCCAUUCAAAUCAUGCAAAUUAGAGGCCAAAAUAAAAGCAAAAGUGUUUGGAAAAGUAGAUACGUUGGAGACGUAUCAAGUCCCCAAGCUUAACUCAUUGCUUGUCCUCAAUCAAUUCAGUUGAUAAAAUGAAAGUGAUAAAGAAAAUUGUUACAAACUCUUUUGUUCUUGUUAUUAUACGCAUGCUUAGCUAGUGUUCAAGUUUUGAGCAUAAAUCAUAAAUAAACACAUCCAUGAUAAUAAUUCAAGAAUCAUAUCCAAACAUGGCAAUACAUAACCAACUAGUAAGCAAUAAUAAGAUAUCUCAGAUGCCAACAAUUUGCCAGAACUAUCACGAUAUAACAUGGUGGCAUGGUAUCUCGCUAGCCCUUUUUGAGACCGCAAUAUAUAAAAGCAAAACACCUCUUAGAUUCAAGCAGUGACUAAAUAUUAUAAUUCAGAGUAGAAAAUAUCCUAGUCAUACUCAUAACCAAUAUUGACUAGACCCAAUUCAUAAAAAUGACAAUAGUGCUCUCUGGUCAGGUGCUUUUAGUAAGAUUGUGAUGACUCAACAUGAAAGCAAAUAGAUAGGCCCUUCGCAAAGGGAAGCAUUGAUUUACACAUGUGCAAGAGUUCAAUCUUUAAAGCACAAAUGAAAGCGUAAUUUUUGAAUGGUGUUCUUUACUGUCAAUGUUACGACAAAGAUUCUCAGUAUCUUCCAUGCUAAACUCAUUGUAGGUGGUUCCCAAAUGGAAUUAUAAAGCUUUACUCCUAUCCACCAUGCAUACACAACCAUGGCUAGACGAAUUCAUGGGUGCCCUCCAACAUAUCAUCUUGCCCAAGGAGUUUUGUUUUGAUUUAGUUUUGGUUAAGCAGGGAUGGGCACCCUUGUUACCAACCUCCCUCGUGUAAUGAUAGCAAAUAAAUGCCCGUCUUGAGAGUAACUUACUUAGCAUGGAAGAUACCGAUUGCCCCGUCGCACCAUGAGUGGUACGAGUGCACAAAAUAGAAUUUUAUUUGAAGGAUUUAGAGGUACCUGAUGCAAAUUUACUUGGAACGUCAGGGUAAUACCGCAUAUAGGUAGGUAUGAUGGACUCGUGUGGAAUAACUUAGUUUGAGGAUAUUUGAUGCGCAAGCAGCAUUCCCACUUAGUACGGGUGAUGGCUAUAAUUAGGUUGGGAAUCGACUAGCUAGAGAGCAACAAAGGUCAUGAACAUGCAUUGAUAAUAAUCAACAUUGGGCACUAGAAUGAGUAGGAUAUGAUCACUCUCAAUUUAAACAUUAUGAAGGCUACGUUGGUUUUUAAUCAACUACAUGUUUGCACAUGGGACAAGUCAGACCGCUCGAAUUACUCAGAGGGAAAUACCACACUGCCAUAUCACAUCAGAACCAUUUUAAUGCAUGUUGACACACAAGGUAAAUCAUUAUUAACUCCUAUCUAUUUAAGCAUGGCAUGAAAAGCAAUGAUCUCUAAUUGUCAUCACAAACAUGCUAACUCAUGAUAUUCUGAAUCAAGAUCAAAUGAGCCAACAUAUUUACAAAAUGAAAAAUAAGAAGAGUUCAUACCCAUUUACUUUGCCACAAUCACUUCAUCUAAUAUCGUCAUUAUUUCCUUUCACUUGCCCGACCGAAUGAUGUGAUAAUAAUGGAAGUGCAAGGGUGCCAUGGAAUAAGCUGGAAUUUGCACGACAGUUUUAAACAAAGGAGAAGACAUGGUAAUAUUGGAUCUUUGUUAGAUCGACGAUAAAGCAUAUGAUAGCCACUCAACAUAUUCAUCAUGGUCUUGUCCAUUUAUAACUUCCACAAAUGGGAAAGAAGUUCAGAGAAACAAGCUGAAAUAUUUUUGGAGUUUUUGUUUUUCUUAAGCAAGAAGGGGAAACUACGGGGAAACAAGAACGAGGCAAAUUAUUUACAGGGGAAAGCUCCCAACAAGCAAGAGGAAAUAUUUUUGGGUUUCCUUGCAAGACUACAACUAAUUGAACAGGAAAGAAAAACCAAAAAGAAGCGAGAAAUAUUUUUGGAGUUUCUAAAGUUUUUCAAACACACAAGAAGAAAGUGGGAAAGUAAAGCUAAUCAUGGGUAUAGAAUGAAAGAGGAUAAACACCGACAAUUUGUGUGAAGUGUGUGAACAUGAAUGUAAUGUCGGUGAGAAAUAUGUACUCCGCCAAGCUUAGGUUUUGCCUAGCUUGGUACUCACCACUGGUUGUAGCCGUCAGGUCUAGGAAAGUAUUUAUGUUGCGGCACCUAAGCAUCCCAGACUCGGGCCUCGGCCUCAACAGCAACUAACUCAUUAACACUAUGCAAUUAUGUCCUCUGGCAUGAUGGUGUAUCCGUUCCUUGCAUGGAAAUUAAACAACGACGAUGCAGGCAACACAAUAAUAUCAGAGUAACCUCACUAAAUACUAAAUUGUAAUGAAUACCUUGCGGUAUAUCAGUUUCAUGGGUGAAAUGAUGUUCUAUCAAAGAUUGGUGGUCAAGAUAAACCUGGGGAAUGACUAACUAGUGGGGCAUAUAGCUACUUCAAAACUCUUAGUGGGGCGUGCAGCGUAAGUACCAACAUGAAUCAAGCCUCUAGUUCGGUUAAGACGCAAGCGGCACGCAACUAUAGCUCCUAAGUUGUAAGUGUUAUCACAAUAAAGUGCGCAACGCGAAAUAGCAAGGGUCGGGGCACUGAGACCACCACCCUACUCCAUAGUAGUUAUGCAUUUUCCUACGAAUAGAGAGAAAUAAUGCACAUAGGAAAAAAAAUGCAAACUAGUGGUUUGAUAACCCACAAGUGUAGGGGAUCGCAAUAGUUUUCGAGGGUAGAGUAUUCAACCCAAAUUUAUUGAUUCGACAUAAGGGGAAGUGAAAGAAUAUUCUCAAGUAUUAGCAGCUGAGUUUGUCAAUUUCAACCACACCUGAAAGAUUAGUGUCUGCAAGCAAAGUAUCAGUAGCAAAGUAGUAUGAUAGCAACGGUGUCAGAAAAAGAUCUGUUGAUGGCAGACUAUUCCUAACUUGUUGUAUCAAUGGCACCAGUAAAUAGCACGUGGACUGGGAACUAUUCUUCCCCGACAACGGUGUCAGAAAAGUCUUGCAGUAGGUAACAGCAAAGUAGCAAGUAACAGCAGUAGUGACAACAGAAGCAAGGAACACCAGUAGUGAAAACAGCAGCAAGUAACAGCAGUAGCAACAGUAGUAGCGACAAGGUAACAUAGCAAGGACCAGUACUAAAAGACUCGUAGGCAUUGGAUCAGUGAUGGAUGAGUAUGACGGAUGUGAUUCAUCAUGUAAUAGCUAUAACACGGAGAGAUAUGUAACUAGCUCCCGUUCGUCAAUCUAAUGUAGGCAUGUAUUCCGUAUGUAGUCAUACGUGCUUAGGAAAAGAACUCGCAUGACAUCAAUUGUCCAUCCCUCCCAUGGCAGCGGGGUCCUAAUGGAAACUACGGGAUAUUAAGGUUCUCCUUUUAAUAAAGAAUUGUGCCAACGCAUUAACACUUGGUGAAUACAUGAACUCCUCAUAAUAUGGUCAUCUCCGGGAGUGGUUCCGACUAUUCUCACUCCGGGGUUGCUGGGUCAUAACACAUAGUAGGUGACUACAACUUGAAAGAUAGGAUCUAAAUCACACAUAUAUUGGCGACAACAUAAUAGGUUCAGAUCUGAAAUCAUGGCACUCAAGCCCUAGUGACAAGCAUUAAGCAUGGCAAAAUAGUAGCAACAUCAAUCUCAGAACAUAGUGGAUACUAGGGAUCAAUCCCCGUCAAAACUAACUUGAUUACAUGAUAGAUCUCAUCCAACUCAUCACCGUCCAGCAAGCCUACGAUGAGAUUACUCACGAACGGUGAAGAGCAUCAUGGAAUUGGCGAUGAAGGAUGGUUGGUGAUGAUGACAGUGUCGAUUUCCCCUCUCCGGAGCCCAGAACGGACUCCACAUCUGCCCUUCAGAGGAAGAACAGGUGGUGGCGGAGGCUCCGUGUCGUGAAACGCAAUGAACUCUUCUCUCUUAAUUUUUUCUGGGUGAGAGAGAAUAUAUAGAGCUGGAGUCGGAGGCUGCGGAGCCACGAGGGCCUCACAAGCGUGCCAGGCGCGGCCAGGGGGGCUUGCGCCUCCUGGGCUUGUGGGCUCCUAGCUCCGCGUCUCCACGUAAUUCUUGCGCCAGUAUUUUUUAUAUAUUCCACAAAAAAUCAUCGUAAAUUUCCAAGUCAUUCCAAGAACUUUCUUUUCGGCGCAAAAACAACACCAUGGCAAUUCUGCUGAAAACAGCGUCAGUCCGGGUUAUUUCCAUUCAAAUCAUGCAAAUUAGAGUCCAAAACAAGGGCAAAAGAGUUUGGAAAAGUAGAUACGAUGGAGACGUAUCAUGGAUCAUGACACAUAAUAGGUGCAUACAACUUGAAAGAUAGGAUCCAAAACACUCUCAUAUUCAUGAAAACAUAAUAGGUUCAUAUUUGAAAUCAUGGCACUAGGGCCCUAGAUACAAGCAUUAAGAAUAGCAAAGGCAUAGCAACAUCAAUCUCAGAACAUAGUGGAUACUAGGGAUCAAGCCCUAUUAAAAUAACUCGAUUGCAUGAUCAAUCUCAUCAAAUCCCAUCACCAUCCAGCAAGCCUACAUAGAAAUUACUCACCCUUCAUGGUGAGCAUCAUGGAAUUGUUGAUGAAGAAGGGUCGGGGAUGACGACGACAACGAAUCCCUCUCUUCGGAGCCCCAAAUAAACUCCAGAUUAGCCCUCUCGAGAAAGAACGCGAGGUGGCGGUGGCUCUGUCUUGUAAAACGUGAUGAAAACCUCUCUCUCCUAUUUUUUUCUCUGUAAUUUUGAAUUUAUAGGACUGGAAUUAGGGUCGAAGGAGCCACGAGGUGGCCCCAAGCCAUCAGGGCGCACCAAGGGGGGGGGGUGGGCACGCCCCGUUGGCUUGUAACCAAGAGGUGGCCGCCCUCUCGUGGGUCUUCGCUCCAUAAUCUUCACAUUUUCGAGAAAAAAUCCCCAAAAAGUUUCGUCCAAUUUCGAGAAGUUUUAUUUCUACACAGUUAUAACACCUUUGUAGUUUUGCUGAAAACAUCAUUAGUCCUUGGUUAGUUCCAUUCAAAUCUUAAAAAUUAGAGUCCAAAACAAGAGCAGAAGUGUUUGCCAAAGUAGAUACGUUUGAGACGUAUGAACUCCCCCACGCUUAACUCAUUGCUUGUCCUGAAGCAAUUCAAUUGAUAAAAUAAAAGGGAUAAAGAAAACUUUUACGAACUCUUUUGUUCUCGUUGCUAUAUAUAUGCUUAGCUAGUUUUCAUGUUUUCAACAUAAAUCAUAAAUAACCAUAUCCAUGAUUACAAUCCCUUGAAGAGGAAAGGGUGAUGCAGCACAGUAGCAGUAAGUAUUUCCCUCAGUUUGAGAACAAAGGUAUCAAUCCAGUAGGAGUAUCAAGGCAAGUCUCCAAAGUACCUGCGCAAAAACAAACAAACUUGCACCCAACGCUAUAAAUGGGUUGUCAAUCCCUUCACGAUUCAUUGCAAGGUGAGAUCUGAAGGCGGAAUGUGCAACAAAGUGAAAGUGUAGAGUUGAAAAUAUGAUGUGAAGUAGACCCGGGGGCCAUAGUAUUCACUAGAGGCUUCUCUCAUGAUAGCAAGUAUUACGGUGGGUGAACGAAUUACUAUCGAGCAAUUGAUAGAACCGCGCAAAGUCAUGAUGACAUCUAAGGCAAUGAUCAUACAUAUAGGCAUCACGUCCGAGACAAGUAGACCGAUACUGUCUGCAUCUACUACUAUUACUCCACACAUCGACCGAUAUCCAUCAUGCAUCUAGUGUAUUGUGUUCAUAACAAACAGAGUAACGCCUUAAGCAAGAUGACAUGAUGUAGAGGGAUAAAUUCAUGCNNNNNNNNNNUCCAUCUUUUUGCCCUUGAUGGCAACAACAUGAUGCAUGCCUCGCUACCCCUUCUGUCACUGGGUGAGGACACCACACGGUAUGAAUCCAAAACCAAGCACUUCUCCCAUUGCAAGAAUUAUAGAUCAAGUUGGCCAAACGAAACCCACAACUCGAAGAGAAUUACAAGGAUAAGAAAUCAUGCAUAUAAGAGAUUAGAGGAGACUCAAAUAAUAUUCAUAGAUAAUCUGAUCAUAAAUCCACAAUUCAUCGGAUCUCAACNNNNNNNNNNNNNNNNNNNNNNNNNNNNNNNNNNNNNNNNNNNNNNNNNNNNNNNNNNNNNNNNNNNNNNNNNNNNNNNNNNNNNNNNNNNNNNNNNNNNUGUUAUUGAUGUGUACUUAACCGGCUCUCGUAGUAGUGCCUGGGUAUUUGAUACCGGUUCUGUUGCUCACAUUUGCAACUCGAAGCAGGAACUGCGGAAUAGACGAAGGCUGGCGAAAGACGAAGUGACGAUGCGCGUAGGAAACGGUUCCAAGGUUGAUGCAAUCGCCGUCGGCACAGUGUCACUUCAGCUACCAUCGGGAUUAGUGAUGAACUUAAAUCAUUGUUAUUUAGUGCCUGCGUUGAGCAUGAACAUUAUAUCUGCAUCUUGUUUGUUGCAAGAAGGUUACUCUUUUAAGUCUGAGAAUAAUGGUUGUUCUAUUUCUAUGAGUAACAUCUUUUAUGGUCAUGCACCGAAUGUGAGAGGAUUAUUCAUAUUGAAUCUUGAUAGCGAUACGCAUAUACAUAACAUUGAGACCAAAAGAGUUAGAGUAAACAAUGAUAGCACCAUAUUUUUAUGGCACUGCCAUUUAGGCCAUAUUGGUGUAAAGCGCAUGAAGAAACUCCAUGCUGAUGGACUUUUGGAGUCACUUGACUUUGAUUCACUUGACACGUGCGAACCAUGCCUCAUGGGCAAGAUGACUAAGACUCCGUUCUUUGGAACAAUGGAGCGUGCCAGUGACUUGUUGGAAAUCAUACAUACCGAUGUGUGUGGCCCAAUGAGCGUGGAGGCACGCGGCGGAUAUCGUUAUUUCCUCACCUUCACUGACGAUUUAAGUAGAUAUGGUUAUGUCUACUUGAUGAAGCACAAGUCUGAAACAUUUGAAAAGUUCAAGCAAUUUCAGAGUGAAGUGGAAAAUCAUCGUAACAAGAAGAUCAAGUUCCUACGGUCUGAUCGUGGGGGUGAAUAUCUGAGUUUCGAGUUUGGUACUCACUUAAGACAAUGUGGAAUUGUUUCACAGUUAACACCGCCUGGAACACCACAGCGUAAUGGUGUGUCCGAACGUCGUAAUCGUACUCUAUUACAGAUGGUGCGAUCUAUGAUGUCUCUUACUGAUUUGCCGUUAUCAUUUUGGGGCUAUGCAUUAGAAACAACUGCAUUCACUUUAAAUAGGGCACCAUCAAAAUCCGUUGAGACGACACCAUACGAACUGUGGUAUGGCAAAAGGCCAAAGUUGUCGUUUCUUAAAGUUUGGGGAUGUGAUGCUUAUGUCAAAAAGCUUCAGCCUGAAAAGCUGGAACCCAAAGCGGAAAAGUGCGUCUUCAUAGGUUACCCAAAAGAGACAGUUGGGUACACCUUCUAUCUCAAAUCCGAAGGCGAAGUGUUUGUUGCUAAAAACGGAGCUUUUCUCGAGAAGGAGUUUCUCUCGAGAGAAUUGAGUGGGAGGAAGAUAGAACUUGACGAGGUUGUCGAACCUUUCAUCCCUCUCGAUGGUGGCGCAGGGCAAGGGGGAACCUCUGUCAUUGCGACGCCGGUUGAGGAGGAAGUUAAUGAUGAUGAUCAUGAAACUCCAGUUCAAGUUUCUGUCGAACCACGCAGGUCGACGAGACCACGUGCUGCUCCAGAGUGGUACGGUAAACCCGUCUUAUCAAUCAUGUUGUUAGACAACAAUGAACCUGCGAAUUAUGAAGAAGCAAUGGUGGACCCAGAUUCCAACAAAUGGCUGGAAGCCAUGAAGUCCGAGAUAGGAUCCAUGUAUGAGAACAAAGUGUGGACUUUGGAGGNNNNNNNNNNNNNNNNNNNNNNNNNNNNNNNNNNNNNNNNNNNNNNNNNNNNNNNNNNNNNNNNNNNNNNNNNNNNNNNNNNNNNNNNNNNNNNNNNNNNAUACCGUGCGGUGACCUCACCCAGUGACAGAAGGGGUAGAGAGGCACGCAUCGUGUUGUUGCCAUCAAGCGUAAAAAUAUGGGGUUUUCAUCAUUGGUUUGAGAUUAUCCCUCUAUAUCAUGUCAUCUUGCUUAAGGAGUUACUCCGUUCGUCAUGAAAUCAAUACACUAGAUGCAUGCUGGAUAGCGGUCGAUGUGUGGAGUAAUAGUAGUAGAUGCAGAAAGUAUCGGUCUACUUGUCUCGAACGUGAUGCCUAUAUGUAUGAUCAUUGCCUUAGAUAUCGUCAUGACUUNNNNNNNNNNUUGUUCGUCAUGAACUCAAUACACUAGAUGCAUGCUGGACAGCAGUCGAUGUGUGGAGUAAUAGUAGUAGAUGCAGAAAGUAUCGGUCUAGUUGUCUCGGACGUGAUGCCUAUAUGUAUGAUCAUUGCCUUAGAUAUCGUCAUGACUUUGCGCGGUUCUAUCAAUUGUUCGACAGUAAUUUGUUCACCCACUGUAAUAUUUUCUAUUUUGAGAGAAGCCUCUAGUUAACACUAUGGCCCCCGGGUCUACUCCACACCAUAUUUUCAGCCUUACACUUUUUCUUCGUUGCACUUUCCGCCUUCAGAUCUCACUUUGCAAUCAAUCUUGAAGGGGUUGACAACCCCUUUAUAGCGUUGGGUGCAAGCUCUUUGUGUUUGUACAGGUACUCUAGACUUGACGAGAUUCUCCUACUGGAUUGAUACCUUGGUUCUCAAACUGAGGGAAAUACUUAGUGCUCCUGUGCUGCAUCACCCUUUCCUCUUCAAUGGAAAAACCGACGCAAGCAAAUCUCCGUCAAUGUGUAAAUUUUUGGCGCUGUUGUUUGAGAAGUAGCACUAUGUCUUCGCUAUGCUUAAUGCUUGNNNNNNNNNNGGCCCGAAUGCCAUGAUUUCAGAUCUGAACCCAUUAUGUUUUCAUGAAUAUGAGAGUGUUUUUAUCAUAUCUUGCAAAUUGUAUGCACCUAUUAUGUGUCAUGGUCCACAUACCCCAAGGUGACAAUAAUUGGGAGUCUUUCGAGUGAUUGUCGUAGUUUGAGGAGUUUAUGUAUUCACCAUGUGUUAAUGCUUUGUUGCGGUUCUUUAUUAAAAGGAGGCCUCAAUAUCCCUUAGUUUCCUUAUGGACCCCGCUUCCAUGGGAGGGUAGGACAAAAGAUGUCAUGCAAGUACUUAUCGCAAGCACGUAUGCCUAUAUACGGAAAACAUGCCUACAUUAUAUUGGUGAAUUGGAUAAGUUCUCUAACACUCUAGUGUGUAAUUGUUACAUGAUUGAUGCCAUCUAAAUCAUUAUCCAUCACCAAUCCAUGUGCCUACGCUUUUCAUAUAGUGAAUCUUGCUAAGUUACUGGCACUACUACUAUUAUGUCUUGCUACUAAAACUUUUGCUACGGAGAGAUAUCCUGAGUGUGGUUGAUUUGACAAGCCAACUGCUAAGACCAAUAAAUAUUCUUUGGCUCCCCUUGUGUCGAAUCAACAGUUUUAGUAAUACUUCCCUCGAAGACUGUUACAACUCCCUAUACUUGUGGGUUAUCAAGACUAUUUUCUAGCACCGUUGUUAGGGAGCAUAGAUCUAUUUGUUGUGUUCACUCAAGGUUAUCAAUUGUCGCUAUGCAAAACGUGAAAUAUACUAGAACCAAGAUCAUACCCUCUAAGACGAGGGGAGGUAAGGAACUAUCAUCUAGCUCCACUUUUGAUUCACAUACUGUUUUAAAUUAGCUUAUGACACCACCACUUGCUAAUCCUUCUGAUAUGUCGCAAUUACUUAAUGAUGCUACUUCUUAAAUUCAUGAAACCUAUGAUNNNNNNNNNNNNNNNNNNNNNNNNNNNNNNNNNNNNNNNNNNNNNNNNNNNNNNNNNNNNNNNNNNNNNNNNNNNNNNNNNNNNNNNNNNNNNNNNNNNNGGACGAGCCAGGAGCCCUCGCCAGGAGCACGCCCCCUCGCCCCUGCUCGACCAGGAGCCCCUGGAGCCUUAGCGCCACUCCCCCUCCGUCGCCCGCACCCUCCUCCGUCGCCCCACCCUCGCCGGCGACCUCGCCCCUCGCCGGAGUGCCCCCUCCUCGCUGUUGCUCCUCCCUGCCAUCGUGCCUCCUCUGUAGCACGAGGUAACUCCCUCUCCCUUCUAUUUUUUUUGUUUUACUUUCUACCGUUAGAUCUAUAAUCAACGCGUUAGAUUAGAUCAUAAUACCUCUUCGGUUUUUAACCAAAAACCUAAACGAUUUUUCUUUACUAUAGUUUAGGCGGAGGACUUUCGUUAUAUAGCGGCCAUUUGCUAGUUAGCGGUAGCAGNNNNNNNNNNNNNNNNNNNNNNNNNNNNNNNNNNNNNNNNNNNNNNNNNNNNNNNNNNNNNNNNNNNNNNNNNNNNNNNNNNNNNNNNNNNNNNNNNNNNNNNNNNNNNNNNNNNNNNNNNNNNNNNNNNNNNNNNNNNNNNNNNNNNNNNNNNNNNNNNNNNNNNNNNNNNNNGACUUUUGUUCUACAAGACCAAUGAAGUUGAAUCUUUUUCCAGUAGAUCACAUUUUUCCUGUAGUUUACAAAAACAUCUUAUUUGCCUAUGUUUGAAAUUUUCAAAUUUGAAUUAGAUCAGAUUUAGUUUAAACCUUGUUUUGCUUAUUCUGGGAGUUUAAAAAUAGCUUUUAAUUUGAUUCUUUUUGCUACUGCUUCCCAGUGAUAAUAUCUUUCAGUAGUAUAAAUUUCAAUUUUUUUAAAUAGUUUUACUUGGGGUUUUAUCAAAAACAGAUUCUGUUGUGAUUAGGUGAAGUGAAUUCCUUCACUUUAUGCAAUAGUAGUGUUAUGCUAGUGAUGUUAUUUUUCUUGUUAAUGAUUGUAGUGUUUAUGUCAUAUACUUGUUUGUAUCGAUAGAUCAUCCGGAGUGUGAAUCUUGCUACUUAGAAGCGCUCGAUCACGACAACUAUCAGCAAGGCAAGUCAUUUGAUCAUGUAUCACCUAUGUUUUCAUGCAUCGUAGUUCUACCUUCCUAUACCCAUUUGCAUGUUGACUAGGUACUUGGAAAAAUAUGGUUACUUGAUGUAGUAUCAUGUGGUAGGCACCCCAACAACCCUGUUACUUGGCCCGGGACGAUGAAUUCUAUUAUGCUAUGCUUGUGUAGACGGGGUUCUGGUUGAGAGUUUAUCACGAGUGAUGCGAGAAUAAUUUAAUAACCAAGACCGGUUAAGUCAAGACUUUUCAAGACCUCGUGAUGCAAUGUGACUCUGGGUGAAGGACGGUUUAGAUGGGCUCCCUAGAGAAACUAGUGGAAGACCCGGGAUGCAUGGAGACAUGCCAUGACAUCUUGCGGAAAGCUUCAACCAGGCUCGAAGAGAUGGACGGAGGCUUCAAGACCCAAGGCUUACCUGCACAGCCACAAGUCAUUUUGGGCUCUGGCUUGGUUGGACAAUGCGGCGACUCUGGACAGGCGCUGCUAGCAGAUGUAGAAGAACGGUAGGAUUGGAUGGGCACCGACAGGGGAUCGGAGGGACCCGUUGAAAGACCAUGUUUUGAUCAUCCAGUCUUCAAACGCCCUGAAGUGCGAGGACUUACCCGGAGGCGAUCAAAUCUUGUGGGGAACGUGUGCAAAACUCUGCAGAGUACCCAAACCUAAUCGAUUAGCCGUGUCCACGGUCAUGGACAACUUGAGCCGAAGGCAUUGAGAUUUUCCUGAACUCUUAACACAAUUUAAUAAUGAUGUGGGAAUUAUUGACAACUCGGGUACGAGAAUUGGUUGGCGGAACCAUCUCGUUAACAACAAACAACGUAGUAAUUUUUUGCUUUUAACCCUCUCUUGAUGUAGGAGAAAACUUGCUUUUCGCUNNNNNNNNNNUUUAUAGCCCCACCUGCCAUAUAUGCAUGUAGAAUAGAUGAUUAUUAUUUCACCCCCUCUCUUUGAUGACUUGCCGACAUAUUCAAUAUGCUGACCUACACGGCUGCAACAUCUUAUGUUGCAGAUACUUUCUUCGACGAGUAAGUGUACAAUUCAGGGUUACGGUCCGCACUCAACCUGCCGUUGGUGUUAUUUGGGACUCCACUCCCUUGACUGCUUCCGCAAAGAUUUUAAGGUAUAUAUCAGUUUUACGCUAUUUACAUGUGGUUGCACUUUGAUAUAUACAUUGAUGUACUGUGUGUGCCAGCAUACUGAUCCAGGGAUGGCACAGAUACACAGAGGCUUGACUCGUUUUGAGUCGGGUCGCUACAGAAAUGGUAUCAGAGCACAUGUUGACUGUAGGACGUGACCCUAGAAACUGGAAACUUCUUAGGAUAGGAUCUCUCAAAAAUCUUAUUUUCAAGAACACCUUUCACUUCUCAUCUCUUCUGAUUUCAUCAAAUGUUCUCUCUCACCUCAAAUAGUUAUACAAUCCCCUUACCCCUUUGAACUCAUGAAGAAUCAACGGAGUUCUACUUCAAAGUAAAGAGGAUUUCACCACGCAUUUGAAGAAUUGAAGCUACACCAACAGAAGACUCUCAAGACCCGAAGAACUCGAAGACCCUGAAGUGUUCGAAUAAUUAUAUAACCAUUAGAAGUCCAAACCCCUUUUAUAUACCCACGUUAGAUACGAUGAUUUGUGAGCCGUCAUUGGUGUGUGUUUUUCGACGGCCACAAAUAAAACCUAUUCUCAAAAAUAUUGUUUGUAUUGUGUGUAUCUCCCUCCCUCUCUUACCCGUCUCAUCCCCCAAACCUCAACCCUACCAGAUGGAGUAUGAAGCUGGACUUGUAGUCUCUGGACCAAUGACCCAGUUGGAGGCUGAAAUAUGGAUUCAGAACAUGGGGAACCACUUCGGGAGCAACUUGAUCCCAAGGAAAUAUGAAGUGGCACACGCUCUCUAGUACUUUACCCAAAGUGCUGCUAUCUGGUGGAAAAUGCACCAUGCCAUACAAGGAUUUAGUGGAGCAGAAGCUUGGGACGAAUUCAAGAACACCCUAUUAAGAUCCCGACUUAUUCAGAAGUGCUAUGAAAGCCCGAUGAAGAAGCCUAGUGCAUGCAAAAUCUGUGGAGAAAUAGGACACACCCAGGAAGAACACAAGGAUGGAUGCACCCAUUGUGAAGAAAAUCACCCAGAAGAGGAAUGCCCAACUAGUCAGGUGACUUGCUUCUUGUGUGAAGGAACCACCCACUACCCAGCUCAGUGUCACAUUUACCCCAGGGUGCAACAAGUUGUCAAGCAGCAGAAAGAUGCAAUGAAGGAAACCCUCAAGAAGAAGAUUCUAGAAGAACCUGUGAUGUAUGAAAAUAUAGAAGACCCUAUGAACAAGGUCUGGCCAGAUUUUUCUCCAAUGCAUGCUACUCAUGUGGAGAAGAAGCACAUUAUUCACAGGAUUGCACGAAGGGAAGCCAAGAGUAUCUGGGAAACUUCCCGACGGAAAAAGUGGAGUUUGAUCCACUUGAAAUAGAAGAACUGACCAAAAUAAAGGAGUCCGGAAAGAAGGAAAAGUACCCUCGGAAGAGCCAAAUCUCUGCAGAUAAAGACCUGAGUCAUGUCAGAUGUUACAAGUGUAUGGAAUUUGGCCACCACAAAUACAUGUGCUCAGGAAGGAAGCCGGAAACCCAAGGAGCAAAAGCAAACACUAAGACGCCUCGAGACUAGUCAGAACUCAUUUGCUUUCGAAGCAGGACAUUUUGCUAAUGAUUGUCCAUGUAGGAAGAAAGCUAAAAUGGAGUAGUUAAGUUUUGACCGCAGCAAUUAGUGUAAUCUGAAGCACUCUUAUUUUUCAUGAGACCAUGGAGUUGAAUUUUUUUGUAACAGAAGUCCCUGAGAUUGUAAUAACUUCAUGAAUCAAUGGAAUUUAUAGUCUCAUGAUUGCCUAUGUUGAAACUGUAUGCGUUGUUUCUCUACGAAUAAAGAUCUCUGAACAUUUAUGAGGAUAAGAGAAAAUAUAGUCUAUGCAGGCAUGAGUAUAAUUCAUUUUUAGUGUGGUAGUAAUCGGUAAACCCACAGGAUCCACUGAGUAGGAAUGUACCAUGAUUACCAAGGAGACACAUAAAUUCCUCUGAGUACCUAUUUACUGACACCUGCAGAUGACAACUCUCUACGAGUCAUUCCUCAAGGGCCCAGAAACGAUCAUGAGCCUGACCAGUGAUCAUGAUUACCCAAAAAUCCUUAAGGGCAUGAUGAAGCACAUUCAUCUUGAAGGAGAUGCAGUCUACAAAGGCUACCCGUUCAUGGGAAAUGGAGUGGAACUUUGGUAUGUGGAAGUACACCUCCACCAUGUGAAAGGAGUUUGUCCAAAGACAAUGGGGCAAUACUUUUUCAUUUCACGUGUACCACGAGCAAUUUUCUUUGAUGCUGUUCGUGAAGCUGCCAUGGAAGCACGUCAGAUUGGAGAAAUACUUGAAGCAAGACUCCGUCAUACCCAGGAAUACAUGAGUGAAGUGCAUGCGGAGAUGAUGGAAAUGAAGCUCAUGGCCACCAUGAGGAAGGAAAAGAUGGAUGAUUUCAAGGAGCACCUUGGAAAGUUCCUGUGGAACUAAAGUAUCUCCAAGAGAGACAAAUGAAUAAAGUUUACAGAAAUGCUUGACCAUACCGAAUAAUGUGGAUGGCAGCAUUUGUAAUAAAUUACUUUUGAAAUUGGAAUUUUGAGAAUAAAUUAAGGAUGUAAUAAAGGAUUGAGUAUGAAAUAAAUAUGAAUUAUCAUUGAGAAAUACCUUCUUAUGGUAUCCCACAGAGUGGAGUAUGACCCAAAAAUAAGUCUGAGGAUUAUUAUUAUAUGAUGGUUACCCCAAGAAUAUGAUGGAAUGAAACACUAUGGAAAUUUAAAGGCGGAGUAACUCCAAGUAUGCCUGAAACCCACAGACCCGGGACUAAUAAGGAUCAAGUACUAUCUUUUGGAGAAGGAAACUUGUAUCAACAAACGUUUUCUUAGGAGCAUACGGAAACCGGAGGGUUGUGAAGAUACGUUAGAUGUUUUGUUCAGCUUCCAGAACCGAUGGAUUACACGAACUUCAUUCGUGGACAAGAGAAAUUCUGCAACGCUUGUGAGGAUGCCCAAGUGUUAGAAUGCGAGAUUCUCUAAACCUUAUACAGAGAAAUGAUUUGGGUGCGGAAUGGAUUGAUCACCAUGACGACUUACUCUUAUCAUUUAUCUUGCUAUUCAGAAUGGUAAAUCUGAGAGACUUACCCGUAGAGAGAGACGACGUUCUUUGAAGCUUUUGUUUAAGCCUUAGAAUGUAUAAGAAAAGCCCAUGUACAUGGCACUUGUUGUCACGCGUAAGAAAUUUUACGGUGAGGAUGAAACCAAGACCCCUCUCUCUGCAGGAUAACCACAAAUGGUAGACCACCAUGAGAAUCAUCGAUAGGUUAUUUAGAAUUGACCGCGAGACUGUCAGUUAAGAAAACCUAGUAACGGAAGAAGCUAAUAUCAACAGAAUAACCCUCGUUUUGAUGGAGACGUUAUGAAUAUAGCGGAAGAUUUGAAGACUGUGAGGAGUCAGAUGCCAAAAACCCCAGGGGAUUGUUAAAGUUUUAAGGGACCAACAAUCUUCAUUUUAAGUGUGGUAGCAUCCCACUUUACCGAAGGUUGGAUUCGUUAGAAGACCCCCAAACCCUAACCUUUCUUUCUAGCCUCUUCGAAUCUCGAGGAUGAGAUUCAUUUUAAGUGUGGUAGGUUNNNNNNNNNNNNNNNNNNNNNNNNNNNNNNNNNNNNNNNNNNNNNNNNNNNNNNNNNNNNNNNNNNNNNNNNNNNNNNNNNNNNNNNNNNNNNNNNNNNNCAAAACUUGAAAACUUCACAAUACAAAACUUAAACAGAAACUCGUGAUAACAUUAGCACAAGAAAACAAACCACCGCAUCUUUUGGUACUGUAGCAAACUUGAAUUCUAUCUAUAUUGGUGUUGGGCUACUAUAUUCUCACUUUUCCAUGGCUAGUACCCCCCGAUACUAACCAUAGUUUCAUCAAAACAAGCAACCAACUCAACAAAAACAGAAUNNNNNNNNNNNNNNNNNNNNNNNNNNNNNNNNNNNNNNNNNNNNNNNNNNNNNNNNNNNNNNNNNNNNNNNNNNNNNNNNNNNNNNNNNNNNNNNNNNNNNNCCAGUCUGUAGCAAUAUGUAUACUUCGUAUACUUUUGGUACCUCAAAAACUCUGACAUAUUACGAAGGCCUAGGAAAAAGGCAUAUCAAACAGCAGCAAAAAGAAUCAACUCAAAAGCUCUUUCUGAAUAAAAAUGAAAAAUCAUCUCGUGAGAAAAAAGUUUUGUCUUUUCCAGCAGGAUCAAAAAACCAUCACCAAGACUAGUCAUAAACGUUUUGCUUGGCUCAAACACAAAAAGAAACACAAAAGACACAAUCAUAACAGAAUUAUGAUAGUGUGAACGCAACAAAACAGAAAGAAAAAGAUAAAUUCAUUGGGUUGCCUCCCAACAAGCGCUAUUGUUUAACGNNNNNNNNNNNNNNNNNNNNNNNNNNNNNNNNNNNNNNNNNNNNNNNNNNNNNNNNNNNNNNNNNNNNNNNNNNNNNNNNNNNNNNNNNNNNNNNNNNNNUUGCAGGGUAUGCUUGUGAUGUGAUAUGGCCAACGAUGUGAUGUGAUAUAUUGGAUGUAUGAGAUGAUCAUGUUGUAAUAGAAAAUAGCGACUUGCACGUCGAUGGUACGGCAACCGGCAGGAGCCAUAGGGUUGUCUUUAUACUANNNNNNNNNNNNNNNNNNNNNNNNNNNNNNNNNNNNNNNNNNNNNNNNNNNNNNNNNNNNNNNNNNNNNNNNNNNNNNNNNNNNNNNNNNNNNNNNNNNNNNNNNNNNNNNNNNNNNNNNNNNNNNNNNNNNNNNNNUUAGUAGUAAUAGCAUGAGUAGCACGACAACCCCGAUGGCAACACGUUGAUGGAGAUCAUGGUGUGGUGGUGACAAGAAGAUCGUGCCGGUGCUUUGGUGAUGGAGAUCAAGAAGCACGUGAUGAUGGCCAUAUCAUGUCACUUAUCAAUUGCAUGUGAUGUUAAUCCUUUUAUGCACCUUAUUUUGCUUAGAAUGACGGUAGCAUUAUGAGGUGAUCUCUCACUAAAAUUUCAAGACGAAAUUGUGUUCUCCCCGACUGUGCACCGUUGCUACAGUUCGUCGUUUCGAGACACCACGUGAUGAUCGGGUGUGAUAGACUCAACGUUCACAUACAACGGGUGCAAAACAGUUGCGCACGCGGAACACUCGGGUUAAGCUUGACGAGCCUAGCAUGUGCCAGACAUGUGCGGACAUGUGCUUACCACUGAAACUACUCUCGACUCACGUGAUGAUCGGACUUGGGAUAGUGUAAGUGGAUCAUGAACCACUGAAAUGACUGGAGAGAUGUACUUUUUGAGUGGGAGUUUAGCAUAUAAUUUGAUUAAGUUGAACUCUAAUUAUCUUGAACAUAGUCUAAGUCCACUUUGAAUAUAUUUGNNNNNNNNNNNNNNNNNNNNNNNNNNNNNNNNNNNNNNNNNNNNNNNNNNNNNNNNNNNNNNNNNNNNNNNNNNNNNNNNNNNNNNNNNNNNNNNNNNNNGAGUCCCCCUUCCUUCUCACCUCCUCCUUUUUUUUCUUUUCUCUUGAUUUUCUCUUCUUGGCGCAUAGAGCCCUUUUGUGCUGUCCCACCAGCCCACUAAGGGCUGGUGUGCCACCCACAAGGCCUAUGGUCUUCCCCGGGGUGGGUUCCCCCCCNNNNNNNNNNNNNNNNNNNNNNNNNNNNNNNNNNNNNNNNNNNNNNNNNNNNNNNNNNNNNNNNNNNNNNNNNNNNNNNNNNNNNNNNNNNNNNNNNNNNNNNNNNNNNNNNNNNNNNNNNNNNNNNNCAUUCUUGGUAACUCCGAAAACCUUCCCGUAAUAAAAUAAGGUCAUCCUAUAUAUCAAUCUUCGUUUCCGGACCAUUCCAGAAACCCUCGUGACGUCCGUGAUCUCAUCCGGGACUCCGAACAACAUUCGGUAACCAACCAUAUAACUCAAAUACGUAUAAAACAACGUCGAACCUUAAGUGUGCAGACCCUGCGGGUUCGAGAANNNNNNNNNNNNNNNNNNNNNNNNNNNNNNNNNNNNNNNNNNNNNNNNNNNNNNNNNNNNNNNNNNNNNNNNNNNNNNNNNNNNNNNNNNNNNNNNNNNNNNNNNNNNNNNNNNNNNNNNNNNNNNNNNUAUCGUUUGAACCUCAGUGCCAAGGAUUCAUUAAUCUCGUAUGUCAUUCCCUUUGUCCUUCGGUAUGUUACUUGCCCGAGAUUCGAUCGUCAGUAUCCGUAUACCUAUUUCAAUNNNNNNNNNNNNNNNNNNNNNNNNNNNNNNNNNNNNNNNNNNNNNNNNNNNNNNNNNNNNNNNNNNNNNNNNNNNNNNNNNNNNNNNNNNUUUACUCGUUCCGUAAUACAAGAUCCCGCAACUUACACUAAGUUACAUUGCUUGCAAGGCUUGUGUGUGAUGUUGUAUUACCGAGUGGGCCCCGAGAUACCUCUCCGUCACACGGAGUGACAAAUUCCAGUCUUGAUCCAUGCUAACUCAACGGACACCUUCGAAGAUGCGUUUAGAAUACCUUUAUAGUCACCCAGUAACGUUGCGACGUUUGAUAUACACAAGGCAUUCCUCUGGUGUCAGUGAGUUACAUGAUCUCAUGGUCAUAGGAAUGAAUACUCGAAAUGCAGAAAACAAUAGCAACAAAAUGACACGAACAUAUGCUACGUUCGGAGUUUGGGUCUUGUCCAUCACAUCAUUCUCCUAAUGAUGUGAUCCCGUCAUCAAGUGACAACACUUAUCUAUGGCCAGGAAACCUUAACCAUCCUUGAUCAACAGGCUAGUCAACUAGAGACNNNNNNNNNNNNNNNNNNNNNNNNNNNNNNNNNNNNNNNNNNNNNNNNNNNNNNNNNNNNNNNNNNNNNNNNNNNNNNNNNNNNNNNNNNNNNNNNNNNNGGAUCUUGUAUUACGGAAUGAGUAAAGAGACUUGCUGGUAAACGAGAUUGAAAUAGGUAUACGGAUACUGACGAUCGAAUCUCGGGCAAGUAACAUACCGAAGGACAAAGGGAAUGACAUACGGGAUUAUACGAAUCCUUGGCACUGAGGUUCAAACGAUAAGAUCUUCGUAGAAUAUGUAGGAUCCAAUAUGGGCAUCCAGGUCCCGCUAUUGGAUAUUGACCGAGGAGUCUCUCGGGUCAUGUCUACAUAGUUCUCGAAUCCGCAGGGUCUGCACACUUAAGGUUCGACGUUGUUUUAUGCGUAUUUGAGUUAUAUGGUUGGUUACCGAAUGUUGUUCGGAGUCCCGGAUGAGAUCACGGACGUCACGAGGGUUUCCGGAAUGGUCCGGAAACGAAGAUUGAUAUAUAGGAUGACCUCAUUUGAUUACCGGAAGGUUUUCGGAGUUACCGGGAAUGUACCGGGAAUGACGAAUGGGUUCCGGGAGUUCACCGGGGGGGGGGCAACCCACCCCGGGGAAGCCCAUAGGCUUUGGGGAGACACACCAGCCCUUAGUGGGCUGGUGGGACAUCCCCAAGGGGGCCUAUGCGCCAAGAAAAGAAAUCAAAGCAAAUAGAAAAAAAAAGAGGGAGGAAGUGGGAAGGGAGGGGGACUCCUCCCACCAAACCAAGUCCAACUCGGUUUGGGGGGGGAGUCCUCCCCCCCUUGGCUCGGCCGACCCCUUGAGGGUCCCUUGGACCCCAAGGCAAGGUCCCCCUCCCUCCUCCUAUAUAUAUGGAGCUUUUAGGGCAGAUUUGAGACAACUUUCUCACGGCUGCCCGACCACAUACCUCCAUAGUUUUUCCUCUAGAUCGCGUUUCUGCAGAGCUCGGGCGGAGCCCUGCUGAGACAAGAUCAUCACCAACCUCCGGAGCGCCGUCACGCUGCCGAAGAACUCUUCUACCUCUCCGUCUCUCUUGCUGGAUCAAGAAGGCCGAGAUCAUCCUCGAGCUGUACGUGUGCUGAACGCGGAGGUGUCGUCCGUUCGGUACUAGAUCGUGGGACUGAUCGCGGGAUUGUUCGCGGGGCGGAUCGAGGGACGUGAGGACGUUCCACUACAUCAACCGUGUUCUCUAAACGCUUCUGCUGUACGAUCUACAAGGGUACUUAGAUCACUCAUCCCCUCUCGUAGAUGGACAUCACCAUGAUAGGUCUUCGUGCGCGUAGGAAAUUUUUUGUUUCCCUUGCGACGUUCCCCAACACCUAGGAGGUGGCUUGCCACCCAAGUUAGGGUGGCGCCACCCCUAGGGUUUGUCCUCACCAGCCCUUGGCCGCAUGGGCCUAGAUCGGAGGGGCGCUCAGCCCACCAGGGGCUGGUGCACACCCCUCUCAGCCCAUGUUGCCCCCUGAGGCAGAUGGGCCCCUUCCGGCACCCCCGAUACACUACGUGUGAUGCCCAAAUUCUAUUGGGUGACCAAAAUGGAGCUUCCCAUAUAUCAUUCUUUGCAUCGAGACCAUUCUGACGCUCCUCGUCAUGUCCAUGAUCUCAUCCGAGACUCUGAACAACCUUCGGUUACAAACAUACAUAACUCAACAAUAUUAUCUCGCCAUCGAACGUUAAGAGUGUGGACCUUGCCGGUUCGAGAAUGAUGUAGACAUGACCAAGACAUCUCUCCGGUCAAUAAACAAUAGCAGGGCUUGGAUGCCCAUAUUGGUUCCUACAUAUCCUAUGAAGAUCUUUAUCGAUCGAACCAUGAUGCCAAGGAUUCACUCAAUCCCGUAUGCAGUUCCCUUUGUCAAUCGCUAUGUUACUUGCGUGAGAUUCGAUCGUCGGUAUCUUCAUACCUAGUUCAAUCUCGUUAUCGGCAAGUCUAUUUUACUCGUUACGUAAUACAAGAUCUCGUGACUAACUCCAUAGUCACAUUUCUUGCAAGCUUGUUGUGAUGAUGUAUUACCGAGUGGGCCCACAGAUACCUCUCCGUCAUACGGAGUGACAAAUCCCAGUAUCGAUCCAUGCCAACCUAACAGACACCCUCGAAGAUAACUGUAGAGCAUCUUUAUAAUUACCCGGUUACAUUGUGAAAUUUGAUACAUAUAAGGCAUUCCUCCGGUGUGAGGGGGUUGCAUGAUCUCAUGGUCUUAGGAACAGAUACUUUGACAUGCAGAAUGCAAUAGCAAUAAACUUAGUGAUACGAUCAAAUGCUAUAUUUAUGGUUUGGGUCUUGUCCAUCACAUCAUUCUCCUACUGACGUGAUCCUGUUAUCAAAUGACAACUCAUGUCUAUGGUUAGGAAACCUUAACCAUCUUUGAUCAACGAUCUAGUCUAGUAGAAGGUCACUAGGGACACGGUGUUGUCUAUGUAUCCACACAUGUAUGUGAGUUUCCAAUCAAUACAAUUAUAGCAUGGAUAAUAAACGAUUAUCAUGAACAAGGAAGUAUGAUAAUAACCAAAUUAUUAUUGCCUCUAGGGCAUAUUUCCAACACAUAUGAUAUGCACUAUCACCAUAAUCCUUAUUCUAUCCUUCCUCAAAUCAGCCACUAUACCUAACUAUUAUGGCGUUUCCAUAGUCAUUCCACGAUAUAUUUCCGUGCAACUUCCAUUGAUACUAUUCAUUACAUGACUUGAGCAUUCAUGGUCAUUUUACUUUGCAUGAUCAUAUAGAGCUGACAUGAUAUUUUUCGGCAAGCCAUCGUUCAUCUUGUUAUACAUGUUACGCUACAUAAUCGCAAAUCAUGGUACAUUGCUAGAGGUAUUCAUAUGUAGUCCUCAUAUUCUUCAUAUAUUGAGUUGUAAGUAAAAUGAAGUGUGAUGCAUUAUUAGCGUGUGCCCCUACAUGUAAGGUUAAAAGAAAGAGGCCAAAAAUAGCGCAACGAAAGAAAAUAAAUGGGGGGGGGGGGGGGAAACAAAAAGUAGAAAGAGAAAAAAGAUAAGAAGAAAAGAGAGGGGGCGCACUACUAUCUUUUUUACCACACUUGUGCUUCAAAGUAGCACCACGCUCUUCAUACACUUAGUUUUCAUAUACUUCAUGAUUAUGCUAGUGGUACUUUUACAUUCUAUAACUUGGCUUGUAUAUUCUGAUAACGAGGUUUCUCAAAUGCUCGAGGUCUUCAUGAGCAAGCAAGUUGGAUGCACACCCACUUAGUUGCAUUAGGACCGGUUUCAUACACUUAUAAAUCUAGUGCACCAGUUGCAUGGCAAUCCCUAGUCCUUGCAUUGACACUGAUCGUAAGGCCUCUCUAUUGCUAACUAUUAGCCGCGUUUAUGUGAGACUUCCUAUAAAAAAUCAUCUUAUAAACCCCAAUCAUCAUUUUCUUCGCCAUUUAAAGUGCUAAGUCCAUGGCUCACGCUCAUGUAUUGAGUGAAGUUGAAAAUCUAAAGCGAGAAAAGUAUGAUACAAUUGCUUGAUUUAGCAUUGGGGUGUUCAUGAUUUGUAUUUUAUGCUACGAACAUCGAGUUAUGUCAUUCUUACAUGAUUAAAUGUUUUGGAAUAACAUUUUUUAUUUUGAAAUACAAUGAUUACUUUCUAGCAUUCUUUCAUAUUACCGUUUUGAUAUUUAACAAUUCAAUCACUUUCCCAUAUUCAUACCACAAAUAUUUACAUGAAUAUAACAUGUUAGGUAGCAUUUCACAUCAAAAAACAAGUUUUAUCAUUUGCCUACUCGAGAACGAGUAGGAAUUAAGUUUGGGGAUGCUCAUACGUCUCCAACGUAUGUAUAAUUUUUUUUACUUCAUGUUGUUAUAAUAUCAAUCUUGUAUGCUUUAUAUGUCAUUUUAUAUUGUUUUUAUGGACUAACCUAUUAACUCGGUGCCAAGUGCCACCUCCUGCUUUCUGCAUGUUUUUAAUUUUCCAGGAAAUCCAUACCAAACAAAGUCCAAAGGCAACAAAAAAUUUUGAUGAUUUUUUUUGGACAAAAGGAAACUCUAGAAGCUUUGGGACGAGACCACAUGUGCCACGUGGGAGCCACAAGGUAGGGGCGUGCCAUGGGUGGUAGGGCAUGCCUGUUGGAAAUAUGCCCUAGAGGCAAUAAUAAAUUGUUUAUUAUUAUAUUUCCUUGAUCAUGAUAAUCGUUUAUUAUUCAUGCUAUAAUUGUAUUGAAUGGAAACAUAAAUACAUGUGUCGAUAUAUAGACAAAACAAUGUCCCUAGUGAGCCUCUAUGUGACGCCCUCGGUUUAAUCGUACGCUAAUCAUACACGCAAAUGCGUACGAUGAAACCCAGGGAGUCACGGGAAGAUAUCACAACACAACUCUAGACACAAAUAAAAUAAUACAAGCUUCAUAUUACAAGCCAGGGGCCUCGAGGGCUAGAAUACAGAAGCUCGAUAAGCACACGAGUCAACGGAAGCAACAAAUAUCUGAGUACAGACAUACACAUGGGGUGCCUUAGAGAAGGCUAGCACAAAAGGAACACGAUCGAACGAGGCGAGGCCUCCUGCCUGGGAACCUCCUAACUACUCCUGAUCAUCAGCGGCCUCCACGAAGAAGACACCAUCGGGACGGCAGGCGUCGGCAGGAAAACUCCAUCUCCUGGGCUCCAUCAUAUGGUCGCAGCAACGGAUCAAGGGGACAAGGGGGGAGCAAAGCAGCGUUGAGUACUCAUCCAAAGUACUCGCAAGUCUUACAUCAGAACUAUUCUAAAUAUGCAUCAGUAUCAAAGAANNNNNNNNNNNNNNNNNNNNNNNNNNNNNNNNNNNNNNNNNNNNNNNNNNNNNNNNNNNNNNNNNNNNNNNNNNNNNNNNNNNNNNNNNNNNNNNNNNNNAACAAUAGGUGCGGUUAUCAAAGACUUCUUAAGUAUUUCGAAAGCUUCCUCACAAUCCUCAUCAAAAACAAAAGGAACAUCCUUCUGCAAGAGGUUGGUAAGAGGCCUAGAAAUCUUAGAGAAGUUUUUAAUGAACCUUCUAUAGAAACCAACAUGACCUAGGAAACUUCAUAUACCUCUGAUAUCUGUGGGGCAAUGCAUUUUCUCAAUUGCAUCAACCUUAGCCUUAUCAACCUCAAUGCCUCUUUCAGAGAUUUUGUGUCCUAAGAUGAUGCCUUCAUUAACCAUAAAGUGGCACUUCUCCCAAUUCAAGACGAGGUUGGUAUCUUUGCAUCUCUGUAAGACUCGAUCAAGGUUGCUGAUGCAAUCAUCAAAGAAAGACCCGUAAACGGAGAAGUCAUCCAUGAAAACCUCGACAAUCUUUUCACAAAAGUCAGAGAAUAUAACCAUCAUACAUCUUUGAAAGGUGGCAGGUGCAUUGCAUAAGCCAAAAGGCAUACGUCUAUAAGCAAAGGUACCGAAGGGGCAGGUGAAAGUAGUUUUCUCCUAAUCAGAUUGUGCAACAGGUAUUUGCAAGAAACCUGAAUAAUCGUCUAGAAAGCAAAAGUGUGUGUGUUUGGAUAGCCUUUCUAGCAUUUGGUCGAUAAACGGCAAAGGAUAAUGGUCUUUCCUGGUUGCCUUGUUCAGUUUCCGGAAGUCCAUCACCAUCCUAUAGCCAGUAAUAAUCCUUUGUGGGAUUAAUUCAUUCUUAUCAUUAGGAACGACGGCGAUACCUCCCUUCUUAGGUACGCAAUGUACUGGACUUACCCAAUCACUAUGAGCAACAGGAUAAAUGAUUCCUGCUUCCAGAAGCUUUAAUAUUUCUUUUCUAACAACCUCUUUCAUCUUAGGAUUUAAUCUCCUUUGAUGACCAGCCACUGGUUUAGAAUCAGGAUCGGUUUUAAUCUUGUGCUGACAUAGAGUGGGACUAAUACCCUUAAGAUCAUCAAGAGUAUAUCCAAUAGCAGCACAGUGCUUCCUCAGAGUUUUUAGUAACUUCUUCUCUUCGUGCUCUGAGAGGAGAGCACUAAUAAUAACAUGAUAUAUCUCCUUCUCAUCAAGAUAGGCAUACUUAAGAGUAUGAGGCAAUUGUUUAAGCUUGAACACAUGAUCACCCUUUGGUGGGGGAGGAUCCCCAAGCAGUUCAACAUGCAAAUUAUUCUUGAGAAUAGGAUAUUGUUCUUAAACAAUUUUAUCUAUCUCAUCUCUUUCCUCCAUAUGCAUAUCAUUUUCAUGCUCAAGCAGAUAUUGCUCUAAAGGAUCCGUAGGAGGUACGGCAAUAGAGGCAAGAGCAAUGAUUUCAUCCCUACUAGACGACUCUUUUUCAUGGGGUUGUCUUCCAAACUUGGAGAAGUUAAAUUCAUGAGACACACCCUCGAAACUAACAGUGACAGUUUGCUUAAUGCAAUCAAUGUGAGCAUUGACAGUGUUGAGAAAGGGUCUACCGAAUAUGAUGGGAUAAAAGCUAUCUUAUGCAGUACCAAGGACGAGGAAAUCAGUAGGAUACUUCGUCUUACCACACAAGACUUCUACGUCUCUCACAAUUCCCAGAGGGCAGAGAGUGUCUCUAUUAGCUAGCGUAAUAGUGACAUCAAUGGGUUCUAGCUCAUCAGGUGCAAUCUCAUCUUUUAUUUCAUCAUAUAGGGAACGGGGUAUUGCACUAACACUAGCUCCCAUAUCACAUAAACCAUGGUAACAGUGAUCUCCUGUCUUGACAGAAACAACGGGCAGGCCAACUACUGGUCCGUAUUUGUCUUUCGCGUGAGGUUUAGCAAUUGUAGCGGAGUCCUCACAGAAUUUUAUAACAUGCCCAUCUAUGUCUUAGGCUAAUAGAUCUUUGAUAAUAGCAACACUAGGUUCAACUCUAAUCUCCUCAGGGGGUGCAAGUGGUCUAAUGUAACCCCUACGUAUCACAGUUGUAGCUUUAGAAUAAUCCUUUUUCCUAGCAGGGUAAGGUGGUUUCUCAGCGUAGGCACAAGGAACAACAGGAUCACUAAAAGAAAUGACUUUAUCCUCAACUAGAUUGGUUUUGACUAUGUUGCUUUCUACAGGAGGAUGAUACUUAAACCACUUAUCUUUGGGAAGAUCAACAUGAGCAGCAAAAGAUUCACAUAGAGAAGCUACUAUCUCAGAGUCAAGUCCAUACUUAGUGCUAAAAUCUCUAGAAGUGUUUGUCUCAACAAAAGAUUUAACGCAAUCAAACUGGAAAUUCAUACCUGACUCCUUACCUUCUUCCAGCUCGCAAUCUUCAGAGUUACGUUUGAUUCUUUCCAAUAAAUUCCACUUGUGGUCAAUAUCUUUCUUCAUAAAAGAACCGGUACAAGAAGUGUUAAGCAUGGUACGAUCUUCAUGAGAAAGCCGAGCAUAAAAGUUUUGAGUGAUAAUUUCUCUCGAGAGCUUAUGAUUGGGGCAUGAAUAUAACAUUGAUUUAAGCCUCCCCCAAGCUUGAGCUAUGCUUUCCCUGUCACGAGGCGUAAAGUUAUAAAUAUAAUUUCGAUCACGAUGUACUAAAUGCAUAGGAUAGAACUUUUGAUGAAAUUCCAAUUUCAACCGAUUGUAGUCCCAUGACCCAGUAUCAUCACAUAGCCUAUACCAUGUCAACACCUUAUCCUUCAAAGAUAAAGGAAAUACUUUCUUCUUUACCUCAUCCUCGGGCAAACCUGCAAGCUUAAAUAAACCAGAAACUUCAUCUACAUAGAUCGGAUGCAAGUCUGGAUGUGAAGAUCCAUCUCCUGUAAAAGGAUUAGCCAGCAGUUUCUCAAGCAUACCCGAAGGAAUUUCAUAAAAGAUAUUUUCAGUAGGUACCUUAGGUUGAGGAACAACUCCUCGUGCUUCCGUUCGUGGUGAAGAUACCCCGAACAAACUCCUCAAAGGAACAGUUUCCAUAGUGACAAGUGACAAUAAAUUUCAGCACAAUAUAUAAAUGUUUCCUUACCAAAUUCCACUUACCAAAGGCGCUUCACUCCCCGGAAACGGCGCCAGAAAAGAGUCUUGAUGACCCACAAGUAUAGGGGAUCAAUCAUAUUCCUUUCGAUAAGUAAGAGUGUCGAACCCAACGAGGAGCGGAAGGCUCUGAUAAACGGUUUUCAGCAAGGUAAUAACUGCAAGCACUGAAGUAGCGGUAACAAGUGAUGAUGUAGCGAGGUGAAACGUAGCAAGUGAAAAGUAACAAGUAACAAGUAGUAGCAAUGGUGCAGAAAGUGGCCCAAUCCCUUUUGUAGCAAGGGACAAGCCUGAACAAAGUCUUAUAGGAGGAAAAACGCUCCCGAGGACACACGGGAAUUUCUGUCAUGCUAGUUUCAUCAUGUUCAUGUGAUUCGCGUUGGUUACUUUGAUAGUUUGAUAUGUGGGUGGACCGGCGCUUGGGUACCUCCCUUACUUGGACAAGCAUCCCACUUAUGAUUAACCUCUCUCGCAAGCAUCCGCAACUACGAAAGAAGAAUUAAGACAUAGUCUAACCAUAGCAUUAAACUAGUGGAUCCAAAUCAGCCCCUUACGAAGCAACGCAUAGACUGGGGUUUAAGCUUCUUUCACUCCAGCAACCCAUCAUCUACUUACUACUCCCCAAUGCCUUCCUCUAGGCCCAAGUAUGGUGAAGUGUUAUGUAGUCGACGUUCACAUAACACCACUAGAGGAAAAGACAACAUACAACAUAUCAAAAUACCGAACGAAUACCAAAUUCACAUGACUAUUAUUAGCAUGACUUAUCCCAUGUCCUCAGGAACAAAAGUAACUACUCACAAAGCAUAAUCAUAAUCAUGAUCAGAGGUGUAAUGAAUAGCAUCAAGGAUCUGAAUAUAACUCUUCCACCAAGUAAUCCAACUAGCAUCAACUACAAAGAGUAAUCAACACUACUAGCAACCUUACAAAUACCAAUCGGAGUCACAAGAUGGAGAUUGGUUACAAGAGAUGAACUAGGGAUUGGAGAGGAGAUGGUGCUGAUGAAGAUGCUGAAUUCCAGCUACCUGAAUUUGGAGUUGUGCAGAAUAGAGGACUCAGAUUUUCUCCUUUUCUAGUCCAGAAUUCCAGCUACCUGAAUUCUCCCUCUUCAAAUAAACCUUGCAAAAUAAGAGAGAAAAUGCAUAAAUAUGUUACCACAAAGUAAUAUAACAACCCAUAAAGCGAUAAAUAUCAACAUGAAAGCAUGAUGCAAAAUGGACGUAUCACGACCCACUAAGACUGCGACUUGUCUAAUGGCUAAAGUUGAUGUGGGUUGGCUUUGGUAGUACCACUCUCUGCGUGGUAGUACCGCUCUAUGCGCGGUAGUAAUUUUUUACUACCGCGCUCAGGGCGGUAGUACCGAUCUAGGAGCGGUAGUACCGCUCCAGGUGCGGUAGUACUUUUUUACUACCGCUCUGUCGGACUUUUUUGCACAUCUUUUCCCCCAGCAGUGGUAGGCAUGGUAGUAUUUUUUACUACCGUGGUAGGUGAGCCUGCAAAGCGGUAGUACCGCUCCUAGGGCGGUAGUAUCGCUCCUAGCAGCAGUAGUACCGCUCUGCGAAAGGCUGUGAGUGGGGGGUAACGGUUGGAUUUGUCCCCCCACAAUAAGGGUGUCUUCUUCCUCAGGACAAACACCUCUUACCUCCCCAAGCUCCAUUGUUUCUCCAAAGCUCAUUCUUGCCUGAUCUCUCUCCCUAGACAAUCAAACUUGUUGAUUUUCUAGGGAUUGGUUGAGAAGGCCAAGAUCUACACUUCCACCAAGAGAUAUUUGAUUCCCCCCACUAAUCCCUUACGGAUCUUGUUACUCUUGGGUGUUUGAGCACCCUAAACGGUUGAGGUCACCUCGAAACCAUAUUCCAUUAUGGUGAAGCUUCGUGGUCUUGUUGGGAGCCUCCGCGCAUUGUGUGGAGAUUGCCCCAACCUUGUUUGUAAAGGUCCAGUCGCCGCCUUCAAGGGCACCAAUAGUGGAAUCACGACAUCUCGCAUUGUGUGAGGGCGUGAGGAGAAUCAUGUGGCCCUAGUGGCUUCUUGGGGAGCAUUGUGCCUCCACACCGCUCCAGCGGAGACGUACUUCGUGUCAAAGGGAGGAACUUCGAUAACACAUCCUCGUCUGCACUGGUUCCACUUGCGGUUAUCCCUGAAUGAUCUCUGCGUCGUUAAUCCCUUGAGAGGAAUAUAAUACAAUUAGCUUUUUUUCAUUUACAACCUUGUAUGGAGAAGUUGAUCUGAGUGUGUGAAGUACUUACAACAUCAAGCAUUUGACACGACUGCCAGCAAGCACAUCAAAGUUGAAGAAGAUAUGGAUGUCCUCAAAUUCCACAUGGAUGGUACCGGGAAGGUGAUUAAAAUGCCUACUAUCAUUGUGCACUUGCAUAAUGUUAGUAUCUUGUCCUUCUGACAUUCCGUGCAUGCAAUACUUAUGUAACUUGCGACAAGUGGAACUGCACUUCUCAAGGAAUUCGCCAAUAUGAAAUGGCGGGCCAUGCUUGUACUUGCAUGCUUCACAUGGGUCUUCAUUGGCCAUGCCAUGGUUCUGCUCGAAGAGUCUUUGUAAUAGAUGCUCUAGUUCUCAUCGCUCCUCUGUUUCUAUCAUGUGUAAUAACAAAUUGCCAAUUUUACCAAGAAGCUAAAUACAAAUGCAAUAGUCUUUGUAGUACAGGAUGCACACUGACAUUGUUUGAUGAGAUCAAAUUAAUAGUGAAAGGUAUGUACAUUCUGUUGUCAAACAUGCCAAUCUAUUAAAAACUGCUUCUCUUGCACCUUGUUAUUUUCACUAAGUCUCAGAAUCUGUUUAUUUCAGAUUACCAUUUUGUGUUGAUGCUAGCCAUGUUUCUGUUCAUAAUUAGACCUUGCUCAUGUUGAAUGAAAUGGAGUGCAUCAUGUCUCCUACCAUGCUGUAGAUCUUCAUGCCAUGAUAAGUCCUGUCGCAUAUAGUUUUUUUUGCUGUCAAUAUGCCCUCCGGUUAAAAUUGUUUGUGAAAAACUAUUAUUUUUACUAACUCCCUAAAUGCUAUAUUUUAUAGUCAUGAUGUGAGCUUCCUACCAUGUGAUCCAAAAAAAUUUCAUAACAUAUUACUUUUGAUAUCAGUUAAAAUGGCACCCACAAGCAUAGAACUGUGACAAUGUAUUAAUCACAUCGAGAAUCAUAUAGCACAUGGGAAGUGUCUAAAUCACACCUAAUAUAACAAAUGAUUUCUAACAGCGAGAGUUAGACUAACCUUCUUUGCACGUCCGAGAAACUUCCUCCCACUGUACCCAGAUUCAAAAGCUCCUAACUUCAUGGAUAGAAAUUAAUGUUGACCAUGAACAUGCAGGUCUUCAGCUACCCCGCUCCAUUCCUUGAAGUACUUGUCCUAGGGNNNNNNNNNNNNNNNNNNNNNNNNNNNNNNNNNNNNNNNNNNNNNNNNNNNNNNNNNNNNNNNNNNNNNNNNNNNNNNNNNNNNNNNNNNNNNNNNNNNNCAGUUACGUUGCGACGUUUGAUACACACAAAGCAUUCCUCCGGUGUCAGUGAGUUAUAUGAUCUCAUGGUCAUAGGAAUAAAUACUUGACACGCAGAAAACAGUAGCAACAAAAUGACACGAUCAACAUGCUACGUCUAUUAGUUUGGGUCUAGUCCAUCACGUGAUUCUCCCAAUGACGUGAUCCAGUUAUCAAGCAACAACACCUUGUUUAUAAUCAGAAGACACUGACUAUCUUUGAUCAACUGGCUAGCCAACUAGAGGCUUGCUAGGGACGGUGUUUUGUCUAUGUAUCCACACAUGUAAAUGAGUCUUCAUUCAAUACAAUUAUAGCAUGGAUAAUAAACUAUUAUCUUGAUACAGGAAUUAUAAUAAUAACUAUACAUUUAUUAUUCCCUCUAGGGCAUAAUUCCAACACUAGGCCGCCGCCCGUCCUCUUGGAGGUAGCCAUAGGGAUGGCCACCUCCACCCCUCCCCUAUAUAUAUAUGAGAGGAGAGUAAAGGAAGCCGCACCACAAGGCACAUCGCAUCCCCUCUGUCUCUCUCUCAUAGUUCUUCUCCUCUGUCGCGUCACGGUAGUGCAUGGCGAAGUCGUGCCGAGAUCGCACCACCACCGGGGGGGGGGGGGGGGCUCAUCUACUACUCUACCCUCGCUCGCUGGAUCGAGGAGGCGGAGAGGUCAUCAAGUUGUACGUGUGCUGAACGCGGAGGUGUCAUCUGUUUGGUGCUAGAUCGGGAAAAUUGUGAUUCGAUCGCGAAGACGUACGACUACAUAAACCGCGUUUCUUAAUGCUUCCGCUUAGCGAUCUACAAGGGUAUGUAGAUGCACCCCCCUCUCGUACAUGUUAAUCUCCAUAGAUAGAUCUUGGGUGUUCGUAGGAAUUUUUUAUUUCCCAUGCAACAUUCCCCAACAAUAUCACAGGGUUUUGAUGUACCUGCAAAGUUUGCACCAAGUCUGGUGGUGAGAAUGAGCAAUGCACGAAGAGACUAGCAAAUUAUGGAUACGUGGGAGUGCUUAUAGUCCACAAACUCACAUUAGUCAUAAAGAACUCAAGUGUUUAUUGCUAAAAUCCUAGAAUUCCUCGAAGCAAAGUAUUACUCGGAUGCUCCAAGGAGGGAGGUUGGGAGUAUUUAACCAUCGUGUGCCCCAAUCCAGACAACACAAAGGAUAUCAAUCAAUGAUAAAUUAUGGUCCAAAUUCUUGGCAUGCCAUGACAUGCAUUUUAAUGAAUGGGACAUCGCAAAACUUAACACUGAUAUUUUUACUAGACCAAGAUUAUUAACUAGUAAGCCUUCAUAUUAUAACCUAAAUAUUGUUUAUCAAAUGCAACUUAUUCAGUGAUACACAUGAAAGUUUUUGUUAUACCACUCUUGUAUACCUAUUGUUUUUGGGACAAACAUAUAAGUCAUGCAAGUUAGCACUACCUAUUCAAUUCUCAAAAAUGUAUAAGUGAAGCAAGAGAGUGCAAAAUAUUUCUAUGAAAUAUAUGUAUCACCAUGCUCAAAAGAUAUAAGUGAAGAACAUCAACACUUUUGCCUCCAGUCAACAGAUAUAAGUGAAGUUCAAUGAGCAUUCCAUAAAUUGAGAUGAAUAUGUGUGUCUCAUAAUGGGUUCAUUCGGUAAACAAUGAUUCUUGAAACAAGCAAAUAGAUAAAACAAAAACACACAAAACUCCAAGCAUAACACAUAUCAUGUGAUGAAUAAAAAUAUAGCUCCAAGUGAUUUUGCCAAUAUAUUGAGGAUGAAAGAGGGGAUGCCUUCUCGGGCAUCCCCAAGCUUAGAUGCUUGGAUCUUCCUUAAAUUUUACCUUGGGGUGCCUUGGGCAUACCCAAGCUUAGCCUCUUGUUGGUCCUUAUUAUUUUCUCCAUCGUGAUUUCACCCAAAACUUGGAAAUUUCAACCACACAAAAGCUAACAAACCUCAUGAGAUCCAUUAGUAUAAUAAAAUAAAUCAGUAACUUAGGUACUGUCAUAAAUAGAUUCAUAAUUGUUCUUAGAUAAUACAUACUUUAUUAUUAUCACCAUGACUUAUAGCCCCCGAUACUAUCCAUAGAAACUUAAAAAUAAGCACAUUAUGCAAUAAAAACAAAAUUUAUCUAAAACAGAACAUCAUGAAAAUAUCUAGUUUUUAGUCAUACUUAUUUAACUCCAAAUAUUUUGAACACUUAUGAUAUAGACAAUUUAUAAUUCAGUGAUGUGUAAAAAUUUAAGGAAUUUAUCAUGCUAUAGUAUAGAAAAACAAUUCAAUGUUUGACCGUAAAGUUUAUGCUUCCCCACGGAACCUAGUAAACAAAUAUUUUUCAACAUCCCAAAGGCUUUGCGUGGCAGAAAAAUAAAAUGAAAGGUACAAAUGUAAUUAAUACAGAUGCAAUAACAAUUUUCAGUCACAUAAAAAUAAAAAGUAAAAGGGAUAAAUGUUUGGUUGCCUCCCAACAAGAUCUUUAUUUAUAGCCACUAAGGUAGGCUUGGGAGUUUAAUGAUGCUGAAAUAGAAGACCAGAAUUGAAGCACGAGAGAGCAUAAUAUAGCAUGCAAAAACACAUUUAAGUGUAACUCUCUUCCUACGCUUAGGUACCUUAUAAUAAAAUAAAUUAUCAAAGCAAGCAAAACUUAGCAUGUGCACGGAAGAGGAAAUAAACAUUAGUGAUCUUAACAUGAAGAGAGGUAAUUUAGUAACAUGAAGAUUUCUAUAACCAUACUUCCCUCUCUCAAACUAAUUACACGUAUCAUCGUAUUCAAAAUUAGUAAUAUAGGUGUCAAAUAACAUAUUCUCGACAUGGUCCACAUGCAUACAAAUUUUUAUAAUCCCCAAGCUCAUAAAACUCAUUAUCCCCAAGCUUAUUGCUUUGCGUAUCAUUAGCAUAAAUUGGCAUUCAUAGAAGUUAUAGUAACAUCAUUGCAAUCAUGAUUUUUAUUCAAGAAAUGAUAAUGAAUCACUUUAUGCAAUUUUUAUUUUAACAAUUCAUCACCUUACUUGGAUUCACGAUUUUCAAGGAAAACUUCACAAAGAUAAUGAAGUGCAAUCAACCUUUUUAUCUUUUCUUUCAAAUAGAUUAUAUAAACAACAUUCAUCACUAGAAAUUGGUUUAUUAGAUAUUCUGGAAUUAUCUAAUAUUUUACUAAGCGAAGAUGCAAGCAAAUAGAAGGCACAUGGCAACACAAGCAGAGAUAGUGAUAGAAAUACUUUUGGUGUUUUUAAUUUUUGAUAAAGCAAAUAACAGCAAAUGGCAAAGAAAUUAAAACAAGCAAAUUGAUAAAUUUGUGUGAAGGCACCUAGGUUAUUCGGUGAAGCCUCCCCGACAACAGUGUGAGAAAUCCUUCUGCUAUUUGGUGUAUGUGUUUGGUUUUCCCUCAAGAGGAAAGGAUGAAGUAGUAUAGUAGAAAAUAGUAUUUCCCUCAUUUAAUAAUCAAGGUUUCCAAACCAAUAGGAUACACCACACAGAUAACGUCAAUAGUACCUGCACACAGACAUAAAGCAAACGCUUGCACUCAACAAAGGCAAGAUGGUUGUCAAUCCCCUUGUUCACACUGAUUUGAAGGAUUAAAUCUGGUAGUGAUAGGUAUAUAAAUAAAUUAAAUUAAUAACAUCAAGUAAUUUCAUCUUACUUACGCAAAGCCACAAUGGUGAUAUGCAAAUUGCUAUUUAACCUUUCUACAAGGACCGCCUCGGUCAAAUCCGAUACAACUAAAGUUGAAGAAACAGACACCCGUCAGUCAUCUUUAUGCAACAAGUUGCAUGUUAGUCAAUGAAACCGUUCUCUUGUAAGCAUACGAGUAAGGUUGGCCCGGGCCGCUUUAGUCCAACAAUACCGCCGAAUCGAGAAAAGACUAAGGAGGGCCGCAAAUCGAACAUCAACGCCCACAAACACUUUUGUGUUCUACUCGAGAUUUCAUCUACGCAUGAACCUAGCUCAUGACGCCACUGCUGGGGAACGUUGCAUGGGAAACAAAACUUUUUCCUAUGCACACGAGGAUCUAUCAUCGUGAUUAUCAUCUACGAGAGGGAGAUCGGAUCUACAAACCCUUGUAGAUCGCUAAGCAGGAAGUGUUAAGAAAUGCGGUUGAUGUAGUGGAACGUCUUUGUGAUCCAAAUGGCCAUCGUCCCACGAUCCGUCCCGAUCUAGCACCGAACGGACGGCACCUCCGCAUUGAGCACACGUACAGCUCGAUGACGAUUUCCGCCUUCUUGAUCCAGCAAGAGAGAUGGGGAAGUAGAUGAGUUCUCCAAUAGCGUGAGGGCGCGUCGGAGAUGAUGGUGAUCUAUUCCUGCAGGGCUUCGCCUAAGCACCGCAGAAAUCCGAUCUAGAGGAGGAACUACAAACUAGAGGAGAGGGUUGCACGUGGCUGAAAUUGUGUCUCAAAAACCCUAAAACCUCUAGUAUAUAUAGGGGGGGGGGGAGGAGGCAGCCUUGCCCACCAAGGGAAAACCCUUGGGGUCGGCCGAACCAAAGGAGGGAGGAGUCCUCCUCUAAUCCUACUUGGAUUAGGACUCCUUCCCAAAUUGUCCACCUCUUUUGGAUUUUCCAUCUUUUUCCACAUGGGAUUUAUUUGGUUGAUUAGACAUCCCACUAAGUGAUAUUGCGCCACCAUGAAGUUCACGUGGACAUCUUGGGAGGGUGGGCCCACCUGGUGGGCCCCCGGUACCCAUUCGUCACUCCCGGUACACUCCCCGCAAUGCCCGAAAUUCUUCCGGAAUCCAAAUAUCAACUUCCUAUAUAUCAAUCUUCGUUUCCGGACCAUUCCGAAACUCCUCGUGACGUCCAUGAUCUCAUCCGGGACUCCGAACAGAACUUCGGUCACCAGCACUUAUAACUCAACUAUACCGAAACGUCACCGAACCUUAAGUGUGCAGACCCUGCGGGUUCGAGAACUAUGCAAACAUGACCUGAGACACUCCCUGGUCAAUAUUCAAUAGCGGGACCUGGAUGUCCAUAUUGGAUCCUACAUAUUCUACGAAUAUCUUAUCGGUUGAACCUCUAUGUCAAGGACUCAUAUAAUCCCGUAUACCAUUCCCUUUGUCCUUCGGUAUGUUACUUGCCCGAGAUUCGAUCGUUGGUAUCUCCAUACCUAUUUCAAUCUCUUUACCGACAAGUCUCUUUAAUCGUUCCGUAAUACAAGAUCCCAUGAGUAACUCUUUAGUCACAUUGCUUGCAAGGCUUAUAUGUGAUGUUGUAUUACCGAGUGGGCCCCGAGAUACCUCUCCGUCACACGGAGUGCCAAAUCCCAGUCUUGAUCCAUGCUAACUCAACGGACACCUACGAAGAUGCCUGUAGAGUACCUUUAUAGUCACCGAGUAACGUUGCGACGUUUGAUACACACAAGGCAUUCCUCCGGUGUCGGUGAGUUACAUGAUCUCAUGGUCAUAGGAAUGAAUACUUGACAUGCAGAAAACAAUAGCAACAAAAUGAAACGAUCAUAUGCUACGUUCGUAGUUUGGGUCUUGUCCAUCACAUCAUUCUCCUAAUGAUGUGAUCCCGUCAUCAAGUGACAACACUUUUCUAUGACCAGGAAACCUUAACCAUCCUUGAUCAACAGGCUAGUCAACUAGAGACUCACUAGGGACAUAGUUUUGUCUAUAUAUCCACACAUACAUUUAUGUUUCCAUUCAAUACAGUUAUAGCAUUGAUAAUAACCGAUUAUCUUGAAACAGGAAUAUAAUAAUAACUAUUUUAUUAUUGCCUCUAGGGCAUAUUUCCAACAAUAGUUGCCGUGGAAGUGAGUCUCAAGACUCUCGGCUUGCCCCCUUUGCUCGGGCUCGAGGGGCGGUUCUCGGCAAUGGCAGUGUCUGCCCUGCACUGCCUCGGCGGCGUGGGGGCGAGACUGCCACCUUCUUGUGGUCGAAUAGGGCCCCCUCGCGCGUCAAGUUCUUCGGGUGGCUGCUGACCUUGUCGCACAUCCACACACGUGACGUACUCCUCCGCAAGACCAUCCUGACGACGGAGGAGGCUGGGUGCCCGUGCCGUGAGGCGGUUCUGGAGAACACCGAUCACCCCAUCUUUGGUUGUCCCUUCACGGUGCGGUUUUGGAGGUGCCUCAGCGUGUCACUGGAGGGCGCCUCGGUUAGGGCCCUUCACCUCUUCAUCAUUGCGGGCGCGGUCGGUGGCGCCUCUCCGGAUGCCUUCGUCAUCCUCUGUUGUUGGAGGUUCUCAAAGCGACGGAACGUUGUGGUGUUCCGGGACGUCACGUCGUCUCUGGCCGCCACGCUAAAAGCCUAUCGUGACGACGCGUUGGUGUGGCGGGCCAGGAUGAAAGUUGCAGACCACACACAUAUUAUGUGUGACUCGGUGUGCUUAGAUCUCUCUAACGGCCUACCUUUUGGCUGACGUCCCUCAUGUGGCUUUCUCAUCUUUCUGUGUAAAUAUGUCUUUCGGGAUUGGGGUUUCUCCCCCUUCCUUUAGAGCAACUCUAGCAGACCCCGCAAAAUGUCGGGUCCGCAAAAAAUCCGACGAGUAUGCGGGUUUGGGUUGUUUUUCCUGCCACAGCAGAUACUGCAAAUGCGCCCCAACCCGUAAAACUUUUGGGGUGGCCCGUAAACGCGAGCGCUCGACUGGUAUAUCUGCGGGUUCGACCGCUGGAUGCGGGUCGUAACCCUAUCCCUCCGCCGCCGCAAAAAGUUCCCCCACCUAACCGUCGGCGCCUCCAAUCCGCCGUCGCGCGCCUUCAUUCCGCCGCGUAGCCGCUCCAUUCCAUCGCCUGUGAUGGCCAACUCCGGUAGCCGUAGGAACGACGACCCCGAGAGGGCUCGCUCCGUUAGAUCCGACGCCGCCCGUAAGCGCGCCGCCCGCCGGUACACGCAGUGGGGCCAGACGCCUCCGCCAUUGCUCCUCCGUCGCGAGACAGAGGAGUACGACCGCGCGUGCGGCCGCCUCUUUUCCGGCAACUCCUUCGAGGCGUCGAGCUCGCGCUCGUGCUCCUCCCCCCGGUGAAGAGGGAGCUAGAAGAGCUCCCGUCGAUGAAGAUGGAGCCGGAGGCCGAGGCGGUGUCAGAGCGAUGUGCCGGGUCGUCUUCGGACCGAAGGAUUUCCUCCCUCCGGCGGAGGAGGAUAGCCUUUUGCUCGUGCUGCUGGCGCGGAGUGCACGAGAGGCGGAAGAGGACCAGCAGCGCCGCCGGAGGGAGGAGGAGAUCGACGCCAUGCUCUACGAGCAGGGUGUCGCCUCGGCCCUCGCCUUCGGCCACAAGGUGGAGGAGUGGCGCCGCGAAGCGACUGCGCAGGAGCGCAUCUACAUCGAGCUCUCCUCCUCCGACGACGACGACUGAGCGCACUGCGCAUCUACUACCGCACGAGCUCGACUCCGGUGAGCUCAAUUUUGCGUAGUGCGGUAGGAUAGAUAGUAGCUCUGGUGAGCUCCGAUGAGCUCCAGUAGGUGUGCUCCCCCCUCUAGUAAGUGAUGUAGGUUGUGAAUGUAGUUUGUAUGAUCAUGUUCGAUGUAGGCUGUGAAUGCAGUUUGUAUGAUCAUGUUCGAUGUAGACUGUGGUUCCAAUUUCGCCCAGGAAUGUUUUAUUUCAAAUUAUGCAGUUUGAUUAUACGGGUUCUAUUCUGCGGCGCAACAUUUCGUCCCGCAAAACCCCACUUCGUCGAACUGUAAAACGCGUUUGCAGGCCGCAAUUAUACAGGGUCUGCUGGAGUUGCUCUUAAAACAAUAUAUUCAGGUGGUUGAGGGGCUUUCCACUCCUUCCGCAAUGAAAGUUCAAAAAAAAUUGUUACAAGUGGUGUUCAUUGUGUUUGUAUGUGCUUAAUUCUUUAUUAUGAGUCAAUAAAGAUACCCUUUACUCUUUAUCCAUAAAAAAGUAUUCACUUGCUUCUUCUUUUCACUUUUUUUAGGACUCGCUUCUGCUCUUCGAGUCCCUAAAAUCCAUGAGGUCUUGGUGCGUAGGGUUUGAGAAGGUUUGUAGGGGAUUAUUUCCGAGGGGAUCAGAAACCCCGCGAUUCCCCGCAUGUUAAUUUGGUAAACAGGGUUUGUGAUGAGCAAAUCCCUUCAAUCAUCUCUAAUCCUCCUUGAUUUUUUUCUACCCAUACCGUUCAGAAACCUUGUCUCGUGACUCAAGUAUUUGAUAAUUAAAAGGAUUUGAGAGGACUGGGUGGUGAAAGGAAGGAAUUCACCCAAUCCUCUGGGAAANCCUCCACAAUCCUCUUCAACGCCUUCCUCUCGAACAAGGCGUGAUGUGUCGACCACCGGGUGGUUUCUUCGUGACCGCGAUCGAAGCUACCAGUAAAAAGGUAAGUCUCUCGCAGCCGUCCGAUCAGUAUGUAAAAAUCCCAGGUUAGCCUGCUCGGCCAGACGGUAGGACAAGGGCGCCCUGAGCCGCCGGCGCGUUCGGCGCGGCCGGCCACAUGGGCGCGGUGCUUUGAACCUCCCGCGAACCAACAGCUCGCUGCAGCUGCACAUGCAGGCCCUCUCGCUCCGCCCCAGCUGUCUGAGCACAUGGCCCGGCUCUACCUGCUGCUCCUACUCGUAGCCGAACACUAUGCACAGCACAGCUACCGGACAAACUUUCUGCUAUAGUACAGUGGUACUAGUACUAGUUUUCUAUGGCUCGCCUCGUCAGACUCUGGCACAGCCAUCUCGCUUCUCGCCGUUUGGAUCGUGGCCUCCUCGUGGCCAGGUCAAGCUCGACAGAUGCAGGACAGACUGUAAAACUAUGCAACGAGCGGCGGAUCUGGCCCUGAUCAGAUGUUUUUCUUAAUUUUUAUUGACGAUCCACGUACAGUUUCCAAGAAAUGGCCGCGACGUAUAAUGCCUUUGCGACCUAGCAAAACCUUAGGUGUUCUUUGUGCGAGCUUAUAGUGGAUAAUGGCCGGUUUUUGGUUCAUAUUCAUGUUUUUGUUCUUAACAGUUUGAUGUUCUUCUCUCUAGCUAUCUGAAACUGUUGUCUAAUAGCCGAGUGAAUCAGUUUGCAGAAAGCAGCAUCGUUACAGGUGCACCACAACCACAAAGUAGCAUCUCAAGAUCGGGCUCCCAGAAUACAUACAAGAAGAAUAAUGGUAAAAUGCAUAAAUUAAAUCAAUGAUGGUAAUUACAGCAGAACAAGAGGGUACACCAAUGUGCGGACGGAAGGGGGGAAAGAGGGAGAGAAAUGGAACAAAGGCUGCAAAGAAACAAUGAAAUGAUACAUCGUGGUGUCAUCUAAAAGACGUAGAUGGCGGCGGCGGCGACGGCCAGCACGAAUGCGGGGCGGAGGCCGGCGNNNNNNNN
rnacentral:lncRNA from 1 species